rnacentral:lncRNA from 1 species
GUGGGAAAAAUUUGCGGCGGUGGCUAGAAAUUGAUGGAAACGGUGGUGAAAAACACACGAACUGGACUCUAACAAAGACCUCGACUAGGACACAAACUCAACACUGCGGACUCUGAAACUGAAAUAUGCAAAGGCUAUGGCGCGGAAGGGUUGUAGGACAGGAAAAUGAUAUGGUACUGGACUUAUGGGACGAACACAAGAACACUCCAAACUAAGGGUAGAUGUGAACCUAAUGUUAUACCUAAAGCUCUGAUUACCACUUGAUGAGAACAAGGGUGGCCCGAUCUUCUGAAAGGUUCUACUAACUCUCGAUUUGGUGGAGACGAGACACAAAUCGAUCCGGCUUCCGAACAACAUGAUCCGAAACCCUACAUUUUUUUUAUUUUUUUGAUGUUUUUCUUUUAGUUAGGAGCACCAAAGAAGUAACCACAUAAAAUUUGAGCUUAAACAAGUGAAAGACAUGGCCUGUGGAAUUAUCUGAAGAUUGUGAAAAAUGUGAAAAAACUUCACGAGGCGAAAACUCAAACUUUGGAGGUGAAUUUGCAGGUUCUAAAAUUUUCAAACCCACCAAAAGCUAGGACACACAGAUCCAAAAUUUUUUUCUGAUCGAUUUUGAUAUAUGGAACGUUAAAAUCGGAGUUCGUAUGUGAAAGUUAUGACUAUUUUACGAACGGACUCCGAAUUAGAGGAAAAAACGGUCUGAAAGUGGGAAAAAUUUGCGGUGGUGGCUAGAAAUUGAUGGAAACGGUGGGGAAAAGCACACGAACUGGACUCUAAUAAGACCUAACCAGUAACAAGACCUCAACAAGAACACAAACUCAACACUGCAGACUCUGAAACUGAAAUAUGCAAAGGCCAUGGCGCGAAAGGGUUAGGACACGAAAACGAAAUAGCACUGGACUUAUGGUACGAACAGAAUAACACUCAAAACUAAGGGUAGAUGUGAACCUAACGGUAUACCUAAUGCUUAUAUUACCACUUGAUGAGAAGAAGCGUGACCUGAUCUUCCAAAAGGUUCUGGUAUCUAUCGAUUUGGUGCAGACGAGACACAAAUCGAUCCGGCUUCCGAACAACAUGAUACGAAACCCUGCAAUUUUUUUUAUUUUUUUUGAUAUUUUUAUUUUAGUUAGGAGGACCGUAGGAGUAACCACAGAGAAUUUGAGCUUAAACAAGUUUAAGACAUGGCCUGCGGAAUUUUUUGAAGAUUGUGAAAAAUGUGAAAAAAAACUUCACGAGGUGAAAACUCAAACUUUGGAGGUGAAUUUUGAGGUUCAAAAAUUUUCAAACCCGCCAAUGGAGGGGACAGACAAAUCCAAAAAAAAUUUUUGGAUCGAUUUGAUAUAUGGAACGUUGAAAUCAAAGUUCGUAUGCGAAAGUUAUGGCUAUUUUACGAACGGACUACGAAUUAGAGGACAAAACAGUCUGAAAGUGGGAAAAAUUUGCGGUGGUGGCUAAAAAUUGAUGGAAACGGUAGGGAAAAUACACACGAACUGGACUCUAAUAAGACCUAACCAGCAACAAGACCUCAACAAGAACACAAACUCAACACUGCGGACUCUGAAACUAAAAUAUGCAAAGGCUAUGGCGCGAAAGGGUUGUAGGACACGAAAACGAAAAAGCACUGGACUUAUGGUACGAACACAAGAACACUCGAAACUAAGGGUUGAUGUGAACCUAACGAUAUACCUAAUGCUUUUAUUACCACUUGAUGAGAACAAGGGUGACCUGAUCUUCAAAAAGGUUCUGGUAUCUCUCUAUUUGGUGCAGACGAGACACAAAUCGAUCCGACUUCCGAACAACAUGAUACGAAACCUUGCAAUUUUUUUAUUUUUUUAAUAUUUUGCUUUUAGUUAGGAGCACCGUAGGAGUAACCACAGAAAAUUUGAGCUUAAACAAGUGAAAGACAUGGCCUACGGAAUUUUUUGAAGAUUGUGAAAAAUGUGAAAAAAACAUCACGAGGUGAAAACUCAAACUUUGGAGAUGAAUUUUCAGGUUCUAAAAUUUUCAAACCCGCCAAUGGAGGGGACAGACAGAUCCAAAAAGAAUUUUGGAUCAAUUUUCAUAUAUGGAACGUUGAAAUCGGAGUUCAUAUGUGAAAGUUACGGCUAUUUUAUGAACGGACUACGAAUUAGAGGACAAAACAGUCCGAAAGUGGGAAAAAUUUGCGGCGGUGGCUAGAAAUUGAUGGAAACGGUGGCGAAAAACACACGAACUGGACUCUAACAAAGACCUCGACUAGGACACAAACUCAACACUGCGGACUCUGAAACUGAAAUAUGCAAAGGCUAUGGCGCGGAAGGGUUGUAGGACAGGAAAAUGAUAUGGUACUGGACUUAUGGGACGAACACAAGAACACUCCAAACUAAGGGUAGAUGUGAACCUAAUGUUAUACCUAAAGCUCUGAUUACCACUUGAUGAGAACAAGGGUGGCCCGAUCUUCUGAAAGGUUCUACUAACUCUCGAUUUGGUGGAGACGAGACACAAAUCGAUCCGGCUUCCGAACAACAUGAUCCGAAACCCUACAUUUUUUUUAUUUUUUUGAUGUUUUUCUUUUAGUUAGGAGCACCAAAGAAGUAACCACAUAAAAUUUGAGCUUAAACAAGUGAAAGACAUGGCCUGUGGAAUUAUCUGAAGAUUGUGAAAAAUGUGAAAAAACUUCACGAGGCGAAAACUCAAACUUUGGAGGUGAAUUUGCAGGUUCUAAAAUUUUCAAACCCACCAAAAGCUAGGACACACAGAUCCAAAAUUUUUUUCUGAUCGAUUUUGAUAUGUGGAAUGUUAAAAUCGGAGUUCGUAUGUGAAAGUUAUGGCUAUUUUACGAACGGACUCCGAAUUAGAGGACAAAACGGUCUGAAAGUGGGAAAAAUUUGCGGUGGUGGCUAGAAAUUGAUGGAAACGGUGGGGAAAAACACACGAACUGGACUCUAACUAGACCUAACCAGCAACAGGACCUCAACAAGAACACAAACUCAAAACUGCGGACUCUGAAACUGAAAUAUGCAAAGGCUAUGGCGCGAAAGGGUUAGGACACGAAAACGAAAUAGCACUGGACUUAUGGUACGAACAGAAUAACACUCAAAACUAAGGGUAGAUGUGAACCUAACGGUAUACCUAAUGCUUUUAUUACCACUUGAUGAGAACAAGGGUGACCUGAUCUUCCAAAAGGUUCUGGUAUCUAUCGAUUUGGUGCAGACGAGACACAAAUCGAUCCGGCUUCCGAACAUCAUGAUACGAAACCCUGCAAUUUUUUUUAUUUCUUUUGAUAUUUUUAUUUUAGUUAGGAGCACCGUAGGAGUAACCACAGAGAAUUUGAGCUUAAACAAGUUUAAGACAUGGCCUGCGGAAUUUUUUGAAGAUUGUGAAAAAUGUGAAAAAAAACUUCACGAGGUGAAAACUCAAACUUUGGAGGUGAAUUUUGAGGUUCAAAAAUUUUCAAACCCGCCAAUGGAGGGGACAGACAGAUCCAAAAAAAAUUUUUGGAUCGAUUUGAUAUAUGGAACGUUGAAAUCAAAGUUCGUAUGCGAAAGUUAUGGCUAUUUUACGAACGGACUACGAAUUAAAGGACAAAACAGUCUGAAAGUGGGAAAAAUUUGCGGUGGUGGCUAAAAAUUGAUGGAAACGGUAGGGAAAAAACACACGAACUGGACUCUAAUAAGACCUAACCAGCAACAAGACCUCAACAAGAACACAAACUCAACACUGCGGACUCUGAAACUGAAAUAUGCAAAGGCUAUGGCGCGAAAGGGUUGUAGGAUACGAAAACGAAAAAGCACAGGACUUAUGGUACGAACACAAGAACACUCGAAACUAAGGGUUGAUGUGAACCUAACGAUAUACCUAAUGCUUUUAUUACCACUUGAUGAGAACAAGGGUGACCUGAUCUUCAAAAAGGUUCUGGUAUCUCUCUAUUUGGUGCAGACGAGACACAAUUCGAUCCGGCUUCCGAACAACAUGAUACGAAACCUUGCAAUUUUUUUUAUUUUUUUAAUAUUUUGCUUUUAGUUAGGAGCACCGUAGGAGUAACCACAAAAAAUUUGAGCUUAAACAAGUGAAAGACAUGGCCUAUGGAAUUUUUUGAAGAUUGUGAAAAAUGUGAAAAAAACAUCACGAGGUAAAAACUCAAACUUUGGAGAUGAAUUUUCAGGUUCUAAAAUUUUCAAACCCGCCAAUGGAGGGGACAGACAGAUCCAAAAAGAAUUUUGGAUCAAUUUUCAUAUAUGGAACGUUGAAAUCGGAGUUCAUAUGUGAAAGUUAUGGCUAUUUUACGAACAGACUACGAAUUAGAGGACAAAACAGUCCGAAAGUGGGAAAAAUUUGCGGCGGUGGCUAGAAAUUGAUGGAAACGGUGGCGAAAAACACACGAACUGGACUCUAACAAAGACCUCGACUAGGACACAAACUCAACACUGCGGACUCUGAAACUGAAAUAUGCAAAGGCUAUGGCGCGGAAGGGUGGUAGGACAGGAAAAUGAUAUGGUACUGGACUUAUGGGACGAACACAAGAACACUCCAAACUAAGGGUAGAUGUGAACCUAAUGUUAUACCUAAAGCUCUGAUUACCACUUGAUGAGAACAAGGGUGGCCCGAUCUUCUGAAAGGUUCUAGUACCUCUCGAUUUGGUGGAGACGAGACACAAAUCGAUCCGGCUUCCGAACAACAUGAUCCGAAACCCUACAUUUUUUUUUAUUUUUUUGAUGUUUUUCUUUUAGUUAGGAGCACCAAAGAAGUAACCACAUAAAAUUUGAGCUUAAACAAGUGAAAAACAUGGCCUGUGGAAUUAUCUGAAGAUUGUGAAAAAUGUGAAAAAACUUCACGAGGUGAAAACUCAAACUUUGGAGGUGAAUUUGCAGGUUCUAAAAUUUUCAAACCCACCAAAAGCUAGGACACACACAUCCAAAAUUUUUUUCUGAUCGAUUUUGAUAUAUGCAACGUUAAAAUCGGAGUUCGUAUGUGAAAGUUAUGGCUAUUUUACGAACGGACUCCGAAUUAGAGGACAAAACGGUCUGAAAGUGGGAAAAAUUUGCGGUGGUGGCUAGAAAUUGAUGGAAACGGUGGGGAAAAACACACGAACUGGACUCUAACUAGACCUAACCAGCAACAGGACCUCAACAAGAACACAAACUCAACACUGCGGACUCUGAAACUGAAAUAUGCAAAGGCUUUGGCGUGAAAGGGUUGUAGGACACGAAAAUGAUAUAGCACUGGACUUAUGGUACAAACACAAGAACACUCGAAACUAAGGGUGGAUGUGAACCUAACGGUAUACCUAAAACUUUGAUUACCACUUGAUGAGAACAUGAGUGACCUGAUCUUUCAAAAGGUUCUGGUAACUCUAGAUUUGGUGGAGACGAGAAACAAAUCGAUCCGGCUUCCGAACAACAUCAUAUGAAACCGUGCAAUUUUUUUAUUUUUUUGAUAUUUUUCUUUUAGUUAUGAGCACCAAAGGAGUAACCACAGAAAAUUUGAGCUUAAACAAGUGAAAGACAUGGCCUGUGGAAUUUUUUGAAGAUUGUGAAAAAUGUGAAAAAAACUUCACGAGGUGAAAACUCAAACUUUGGAGGUGAAUUUUGAGGUUCUAAAAUUUUCAAACCCAACAAUGGAGGGGACAGACAGAUCCAAAAAAAAUUUCGGAUCGAUUUUGAUAUAUGGAACGUUGAAAUCGGAGUUCGUAUGCGAAAGUUAUGGCUAUUUUACGUACGGACUACGAAUUAGAGGACAAAACCGUCCGAAAGUGGGAGAAAUUUGCGGUGGUGGCUAGAAAUUGAUGGAAACGGUAGGGGAAAACACACGAACUGGACUGUAAUAAGACCUAACCAGCAACAAGACCUCGACCAGGACAAACUCAACAAUGCGGACUCUGAAACUAAAAUAUGCAGAGGCUAUGGCGUGGAAGGGUUGUAGGACAGGAAAACGAUAUGUUACUGGACUUAUGGGACGAACACAGGAACACUCGAAACUAAGGGUAGAUGUGAAACUAAUGGUAUACCUAAAGCUUUGAUUACCACUUGAUGAGAAAAAGGGUGGCCCGAUCUUUCGAAAGGUUCUGGUAACUCUCGAUUUGGUGGAGACGAGACACAAAUCGAUCCGGCUUCCGAACAACACGAUCUGAAACCCUACAGUUCUUUUUUAUUUUUUUAAUAUUUUUCUUUUAGUUAGGAGCACCGAAAGAGUAACCACAUAAAAUUUGAGUUCAGACAAGUGAAAGACACGGCCUGCGGAAUUUUCUGAAGAUUGUGAAAAAUGUGAAAAAAACAUCACGAGGUGAAAACGCAAACUUGGGAGGUGAAUUUGGAGGUCCUAAAAUUUUCAAACUUGCCAAAGGCAGGGACAUACAGAUCUGAAUUUUUUUUCUGAUCGAUUUUGAUAUAUGGAACGUUGAAAUCGGAGUUCGUAUGGGAAAGUUAUGGCUAUUUUACGAACGGACUCCGAAUUAGAGGACAAAAUGGUCCAAAAGUGGGAAAAAUUUGCGGUGGUGGCUAGAAAUUGAUGGAAACGGUGGGGAAAAACACACGAACUAGACUCUAACAAGACCUAACAAGCAACAAGACCUCAACCAAGACACAAACUCAACACUGCGGACUCUGAAACUGAAAUAUGCAAAGGCUAUGGCGCGUAAGGGUUGUAGGACAUGAAAACGAUAUGGCCCUGGACGUUUGGGACGAACACAAGAACACUCGAAACUAAGGGUAGAUGUGAACCUAACAGUAUACCUAAAGCUUUGAUUACCACUUGAUGAGAACAAGGGUGACCUCAUCUUCCAAAAGGUUUGUAACUCUCGAUUUGGUGCAGACGAGACACAAAUCGAUCCGGAUUCCGAACAACACGAUCCAAAACCCUACAAUUUUUUUUAUUUUUUCGAUAUUCUUCUUUUAGUUAGGAGUAACCACAGAAAAUUUGAGCUUAAACAAGUGAAAGACAUGGCCUGUGGAAUUUUCUGAAGAUUGUGAAAAAUGUGAAAAAAACUUCACGAGGUGAAAACUCAAAGUUCGGAGGAGAAUUUUAAGGUUCUAAAAUUUUCAAACCUCCCUACAAUGGGGACAUGCAGAUCCGAAAUUUUUUUCUGAUCGAUUUUGAUAUAUGGAACAUUGAAAUCGGAGUUCGUAUGCGAAAGUUAUGGCUAUUUUACAAACGAACUCUGAAUUAUAGGACAAAACGGUCCGAAAGUGGAAAAAAUUUGCGGCGGUGGCUAGAAAUUGAUGGAAACAAAGGGGAAAAGACACAAACUGGACUCUAACAAGACCUAUCCAGCAACAAGACCUCGACCAGGACAAACUCAACACUGCAGACUCUAAAACUGAAAUAUGCAGAGGCUAUGGCGCGGAAGGGUUGUAGGACUGGAAAACGAUAUGUUAUUGGACUUAUGGGACGAACACAGGAACACUCGAAACAAAGGGUAGAUGUGAACCUAAUGGUAUACCUAAUGCUUUGAUUACCACUUGAUGAGAACAAGGGUGGCCUGAUCUUCCGAAAGGUUCUGGUAACUCUCGAUUUGGUGGAGACGAGACACAAAUCGAUCCGGCUUCCGAACAACACGAUCCGAAACCUUGCAAUUGUUUUUUAUUUUUUUGAUAUUUUUAUUUUAGUUAGGAGCACCAAAAGAGUAACCACAUAAAAUUUGAGUUUAAACAAGUGAAAAACAUGGCCUGUGGAAUUAUCUGAAGAUUGUGAAAAAUGUGAAAAAACUUCACGAGGUGAAAACUCAAACUUUGGAGGUGAAUUUGCAGGUUCUAAAAUUUUCAAACCCACCAAAAGCUAGGACACACAGAUCCAAAAAUUUUUUCUGAUCGAUUUUGAUAUAUGGAACGUUGAAAUAGGAGUUCGUAUGGGAAAGUUAUGGCUAUUUUACGAACGGACUCCGAAUUAGAGGACAAAACGGUCCAAAAGUGGGAAAAAUUUGCGGUGGUGGCUAGAAAUUGAUGGAAACGGUGGGGAAAAACACACGAACUGGACUCUAACUAGACCUAACCAGCAACAGGACCUCAACAAGAACACAAACUCAACACUGCGGACUCUGAAACUGAAAUAUGCAAAGGCUUUGGCGCGAAAGGGUUGUAGGACACGAAAAUGAUAUAGCACUGGACUUAUGGUACAAACACAAGAACACUCGAAACUAAGGGUGGAUGUGAACCUAACUGUAUACCUAAAACUUUGAUUACCACUUGAUGAGAACAAGAGUGACCUGAUCUUCCAAAAGGUUCUGGUAACUCUAGAUUUGGUGGAGACGAGAAACAAAUCGAUCCGGCUUCCGAACAACAUCAUAUGAAACCGUGCAAUUUUUUUAUUUUUUUGAUAUUUUUCUUUUAGUUACGAGCACCAAAGGAGUAACCACAGAAAAUUUGAGCUUAAACAAGUGAAAGACGUGGCCUGUGGAAUUUUUUGAAGAUUGUGAAAAAUGUGAAAAAAACUUCACGAGGUGAAAACUCAAACUUUGGAGGUGAAUUUUGAGGUUCUAAAAUUUUCAAACCCAACAAUGGAGGGGACAGACAGAUCCAAAAAAAAAUUUCGGAUCGAUUUUGAUAUAUGGAACGUUGAAAUCGGAGUUCGUAUGCGAAAGUUAUGGCUAUUUUACGUACGGACUACGAAUUAGAGGACAAAACCGUCCGAAAGUGGGAAAAAUUUGCGGUGGUGGCUAGAAAUUGAUGGAAACGGUAGGGAAAAACACACGAACAGGACUGUAAUAAGACCUAACCAGCAACAAGACCUCGACCAGGACAAACUCAACAAUGCGGACUCUGAAACUGAAAUAUGCAAAGGCUAUGGCGCGGAAGGGUUGUAGGACAUGAAAACGAUAUGGCCCUGGACGUUUGGGACGAACACAUGGAAUAACACUAGGAGUGUUACAUCAUCGGCAGUAAUCUAGUGCUGAGGAUCCACCGAUGUGCUUUUUUCAGCUGCCUCUGAAGUCAAUACUUUGGUCUUUCCCUUAGCAUCCAACAUAUUUGUAGGGAAAUGAUGUUGGUCGAUCUUCAUCGGCUUUUGAGCUUUGGAGUUAUCGAACCUAAUUCUCCCAAACUCUAUAGCCGACUGCAGCUGCUGCCUGAAAACUUUGCAUUCAUUUGUACUAUGAGAUGUUGCAUUAUGCCACUUGCAAUACUUAAUCUUCUUUAAUUCUUCUGCCGAUGGAAUCACAUGGUUAGGUGACAACUGAAUUUGCCCCUCCUGAAGCAAAAAGUCAAAUAUCCUAUCGGCUUUGGUGAUGUAAAAUGCAAACUUUUCUGGAUCUUUAUGCCCAAAAGGGCAAGACAUCGGCUUUUUAUUUUUUACCCAUUCUGCCAAGCUGAUGACUGGCUCUUCAUCAGAAUCUGAGCUCGUUGCCUCAUCGACAAAUGACACCUUUUUGUUCCAUGCCCUCUUGGGUUCAAAAGCUUUGAUAUCUUGGUCAGAAAUCCACUGCACUAAAUGGCUCAGACUUUCAAACUCUUGAGAAGCAUACUUGUCUUUAAUGUGUGGCAACAACCCUUGGAAAGCCAAAUUGGGGAGCUGCCGAUCAUCCAAAACCAGACUAUAACAUUUAUUCUUAACAUCUCGCAACCUUUGCACAAAGCUCUCAACCGAUUCGUCAUUGCUCUGCCUUAGCCUGACUAAAUCGGUAAUCUUCUUCUCAUGCACUCCAAAAAAGAAGUAUUUAUGGAACUAUUUUUCUAGAUCGGCCCAGGUGAUCACUGAGUUUGGAGGUAAUGAAAUAAACCAAGUAAAGGCCGAUCCAGACAAAGAUGAUGAGAAUAAGCGAACCCUUAACUCAUCUCUGUUAGCAGUUUCCCCAUACUGGAUGAUGAACCUAUUAACAUGCUCCAUGGUUGACGUAUCAUCCUGCCCCGAAAACUUGAUGAAAUCCGGCACCUUGUACCGAUUUGGAAGCGGAAUUAAGUCAUAUGCUGGAGGAUAUGGUGUCCGAUAAGAGUAAGUGUUGACUUUGGGUUUUAUCCCAAAUUGGUCUCUCAUCACCUCAGCUAUCUUAUCGGCCCAGUAAGCAUCAGCAUAUUGCCGAUGAGCUUGUUGUGGAUUCGGCAUCUGCUGAUAAGCUUCCACAUGUCUCUGCAGUGCACGAUCCCUACAGAACAUAGGAUUAGCCACCGCCUGUUGACCACCAACUUGGUGACCAAGAUUCAUCGGCUGGUUGAUCAACCCUUGAUUUUGAAAUCCAGGUUGCAUUGGUCCUUAUUGAAAUCCCAUAGCCUGAUGAUUUUGCUGAGGCAUCUAUGGAAAGACAAACUGCCCUGUCCAUCCAUUGUUAACAUUCAUCGGCGUAGGUCCUGCCGAUGGCUGAUAAUUGGGCAUCAUCAUCAAAUUGACAUACCCUAGCUGUGUCAUAAACCUUUGCUGUGUCAGCAUUGGAUCUGCCGAUGCAUUAGGCAUCUAGAACGUUGGCAUUUGAGAAUUCCUAGCAAAAGGUCUUGUAGUAGUAGUUGUAGAAUACUUGGGAUUCUGAGUCAUCGGUGAGCCUGGGGGUGCCGAUGCCAUAGGAGCAUUGCCUGUCAUGUCAGCCACUUGAGAUGUCCCAGAACUUUUUGCCAUAAAUUCUGGGGGCAUACCAUAUCCCCACCAAUUGGGAGGAACAAAUACUGACAUUGCUGAUGCUAAUAAAUCUGUAGCAAGUUUGACUUGUCCCUCUGAUGUUGAUGGAUUAGUCGUCAUCGGUGUAGAUUGCGCAUUAGUCAUCCCUAAUGUGCUUGGAGGAGAAGUAACUUCCGUACCUGCAACCGCUGUAGUAGCCGAUGGAGCCGUAACCGAUGAUGAUCCUGGCUGNNNNNNNNNNNNNNNNNNNNNNNNNNNNNNNNNNNNNNNNNNNNNNNNNNNNNNNNNNNNNNNNNNNNNNNNNNNNNNNNNNNNNNNNNNNNNNNNNNNNGGCUAGAGUAUAGUGAGUCCAAGGAUGCUGCUUAUUGCUUAUAUUGUUAUCUUUUCUUUAAUUCGGGGAAGACAGAAAAAUUUGGAAGUUCUGUCUUUGCGCGAUCGAGGUUAUCAAAAUUGGAAGAAUGCUAAGGAUACUUUUCAUAAGCAUAGUGCUUCGAAGACUCAUACAGAGGCCAGACUGAAGUGUGAUGAUUUUAUGAACCAAAGGACAAGUGUGGGUCAAAGAAUAGUUGAGGUAAGCACGGAGGAAGAAAAACGAUAUGAGAUUCGUCUGACAUCAUCUUUAGAUGUUGCAAGAUUUCUCAUAUAUCAAGGGCAACCUUUUCGUGGAGAUGAUGAGAGUUCUACUUCCCUCAACAAGGGUAUGUUUAGAGAGAUGGUUGAUUGGUAUAAGGAUAAGGUAGAUAUAGUCAAUGAUGCAUAUGAAAAAGGUUCUAAAAAUUUCCAGAUGAUAUCUCUUGAUAUACAAAAGGAUCUUACAAAAGCUUGUCCUGAGGAAGUCACAGCUGUCAGUAUGGAUGAGAUCCUUGGUAGAAAAUUCUCAGUGCUUAUUGAGGAGUCUCGGGAUGUAUCAAUAAAAGAGCAAAUGGCAGUGAUUCUAAGGUUAGUAUUCCACAGUUGCAAUUUUGUUCAUAGAUUUUAUUAUAAUUAUUUCUGCAAUUAUACUAACACAUAAAUAAAUAUACUGUGUAGGUUUGUGAAUGAUAAAGGGAAAGUGGUGGAGAGAUUUCUUGGGCUUCAGCAUGUUCAGAGUUGUACAGCUAUUGCAUUGAAAGAGGCUUUGGUCAGUAUGCUUUCAAGUCACAAUUUGUCUAUCUCUAUGCUUCGUGGGCAAGGGUAUGAUGGAGCCUCUAAUAUGAGAGGUGAAUUUAAUGGGGUCCAAAAACUGAUCCGUGAUGAAAAUCCUUAUGCUUUCUAUGUGCAUUGUUUUGCCCAUCAAUUGCAACUAGUGGUGGUUGCUGUUUCAACUUCUAGUGCAGAUAUUGCAGAUUUCUUUAACUAUGUUCCUUUAAUAGUCACCAAUGUGGGUGCAUCUUGUAUGAGAAAAGAUGCUUUGCUUGCAAAGCAUCAAGAUGUGUUGCUAGAAAAUAUUGAGAAGGGUGAGAUUAUGACUGGAAGAGGUUUAAAUCAAGAAAGUAGCCUAGCUAGGCCAGGAGAUACUAGAUGGGGUUCACAUCUUAAAACUUUGCUUCGCAUUUUGGUGAUUUGGGAGGCUAUCAUAGAUGUGCCUGAGAUAGUGAAGAAAGAUUCUAUUAAACCAAGAAAUAACAGUGGAGCUUUAGGAUUAAUUAAAAAAAUGGAGAGCUUUGGUUUUGUGUUCAUCCUGCAUUUGAUGAUACAAUUGUUGAGCAUGACAGAUAUUUUGUCACAAGCUUUGCAAAAGAAGGAUCAAGACAUAGUUGAAGCAAUGCAUUUGAUCUCAGAUGUGAAAGAUAGCUUGCAGGAUAUGAGGGAAAAUGGAUGGGAGCCAUUACUCAAAAGAGUGAUAACAUUUUAUGAGAAGAAUGAGAUUGAAGUGCCGGAUAUGGAUAAGGAAAUAAAUGUUAGAGGGACAUCUAGAAGAAGGAAGCAAAAGGUAACAAACAUGCAUUACUAUCAUGUUGAACUUUUUCUGGUCGCCAUUGAUGCCCUCUUGACUGAGAUGAAUCACCGGUUUAGUGAAACUAGUUCAGAGUUAUUACUAUGUAUGGCUGCUUUUAACCUAAGGAACUCCUUCUCUAAUUUUGAUGUGGACAAACUUGUGAGGCUUGCUGAAAUUUAUGCCGAUGAUUUUGAUAUUGGUGAACUUGCUGUUUUGCCAAAUCAUCUUACACAGUUUGUCAACCGUGCUAGAAGAACUCCAGACUUUCUUGGAUGCAUUGAGCUUGGAAAAGUUGCUGAAAUUAUGGUCAAGACUAAAAUGCAUACAUCUUAUAAAUUGGUUUAUCGUCUCAUUGAGCUAAUCUUGAUACUGCCGGUGGCAACAGCUUCAGUUGAGAGAAUAUUUUCAGCCUUGAACAUUAUAAAGAUAGAUUUGCGCAAUAAAAUGGGUGAUGAAUGGCUCAAUGAUUUGAUGAUAUGUUAUACUGAGAAGGAGAUAUUUAGAAAGAUUGAUAAUGGAAAGAUCAAAAAGCGGUUUCAAGAGAUGAAAAAGCGACGUAUGUUAUUGCCUAGAAAAGUAGUGGUACGCUCUAUUCUCUUCUAAAUUUAUAAUUUGGAGGUCCAUAUAUGUAUCACUAUUAUGUCUAUUUGCGUAGGUUGCAGCUUCGGAGGAAUAAUGUGGGGCAAGCGUAGUGAUUAGUUUUGCAAUUGGUCCUUUCGGUAUUUAUGAACUUCAUCUUUUUCUUUCAUGACAUAUUUUGUGAAUUUUUGUUGUUGGUCGACGUUUUCAAUAUAAGCUUGAUUUAUGCUAUUAUAUAUACGUCUAUUGUGAAAGGGUCAUAGUAGAGAUAAAUUGUCGUAGACUUGUUCAGCCCGCCCUAAAUUUUUUUUCUAGCUUCGUCGAUGCUCCCACGCCGCAUCCCCUCUCCACAAGGAACCGCAGCCCCCUGAUGUGCUCGUGUCGAGGUCGGCUUUCGGCGACGAUCUCCACGAUGGCCUGCGAGCUUGGCUCCGGAUUCGCGCCUGAGUGACGGCGCGGCUUCGGCCGAUCACCUGCUCCGGUCCUGCCUCACCUGACCGAGCCGUGCUCGUGCGCGCCGACCAGUCGACGGACGACGACCGAGCCGCACUCGUGCGCAGCAGGUGGAGGAGGACUGGGUCGCCGCGGAACCUGGCUUCUAGGACGCCAAGCUCCAAGCUCGUCUCGCCCGCCACCGGAGGACCUCGCCAAGCCGCACGCGACGCGACGCCUGCGACCCCUACACCGGCCUCUGGAACUGGUCCAACCCGGCUUCUACGACGCCCAGCUCCAAGCUCGUCUCGCCCGCCACCGGACGACCUCGCCAAGCCGCACGCGACGCGACGCCUGCGACCCCUACACCGGCCUCUGGAACUAGAACUGGUCCAUGUCCGUUCCUUGCUCCCCUCCCCUUACUGAUUUGUUUUGUUUCAGCACCUGAUUUUGGUAGUGAUUUGUUUCUGAAUCCUGGAUAGAUAGAAUCGUUUCAGCACUUUGUUAUUGAUUUGUUUUGUUUCAGCACCUGAUUUUGGUAGUGUUUUAUUUCUGAAACCUGGAUAGAUAGAAUCGUUUCAGUACCUGCAUUUUUGUAUUGAUCUGAACCUGCAUUUUCUGAUAGAUCUUUUGACAGUGAGGACACUACUACUACUAUUAGGCAGUAGCAAUCACUACAUUAAACCUGAAAUUUCUUAUUGAUCUCAGCCUGUUUCGCUUGGUCAUCUCGAAGUGAUGUGAGCCUUGGAAAUGUACUGAAUUGAAAUCCACUUGCGGCAAUGUCUUUUAUAAAAUCACUGUACUUUUGGUAGUUCUAUAAUGGCUGAGUAGGAGUGUUUUGGCUUUGCAAGUAAUUUUUUUUAGACAAUGGAUUCAACUCUGGGCUGCAAAACAGUAAAGAUUUACGUUUUAGAAUCACCUAGCUGGAUGCUUGCAACAGAUGUAUGUUUCUCCAAAAAGGGUUGGAGGAAAGUAGAUAUCCUUUUCAAUCGAUCAUCAUACUUUUGUCACUAUGCCCUGUCUAUAUUUUCUUUUAUAAACAUUAUUUGCAGGUUUUAGAAGAUUUACGCACUAUUUGGAACUGUGUACUGACAGAAAAGCUGCAUAUCAACCCAAGAGACAGAGGUCUAUAUUCUGCAAUUCUUGUUCUUGGGAAGACAUUUGACAACCUAGGUAUUUCUCCCUUCAUCAUACAUAGAAUUUUACGGUGCAAGGUGGGCUCACCAGUUUAUGAAGUACAUCUUUUUGUCUUGAUGAAAAGCUGAUUUCCUGUAGUUAGCACUUUUGUCUAUUUUGUAGAGAUAUAUAGAUAAUAACCAAUAGUUUGUAUAUGGAUGUAGUUUGUCUUGGAUGGUACUACUAUGCACACUAUGCAGCUAAGAAGUAAGCCUGUUGCUUUAUUAAUUAGUCAAAAUUUUGAUAACCUGUAAUGUGUGCAAUCCCCCUGCUUGGCUUAUCUGGUUGGAAAAUAGAUAGAUGAUGUCCAGUUAGAAGAUGAGGAUUGGUUGGACAAUAGAUGAUAUAUGGACAAUUGGAGAUAUAAUAUGAGGAUUCACAGUUGAAAUGCUGAUUAAAACUAAAUUAGGUCUAACUUGGUGGAAUGGCAUCUUCGGUUUAUUCUCCUGUUUACUCUUUUCAUUGCCUGUCACUAUAUUGAAAACUGAGAGGCCUAAAUGCAAUGUCAAUCCAUAGUUUCUUAGUUAUGCUAAUACAAGAAAAAUGCUACCAUUUGUUCGCCUGCUGCCUUUCAGAUCCAUGGGAAUAGUUUUGCAUAUUCUCUUCUGCUAUAACUGUUAUAUUUGUGCUGUUACCGCUUACCAAUAAGACAUUGAGUGAGAAAAUAAUUAGCUUGCAGGGUUGGAUCGCUGUCCAAAAUCAGGUUUAACAGCCUGAUCCAUACGACUGUGAACCUACGCCCUUUACAAGGUUGGCAGAUUCCUAUCUGAAACUACAAUUUUCGCACUAAUUACUUUAAAGAAUACGCAACUAAAUGUAAACCAAAGUUUUGUGUUCCUCCUUCAUAUCAUAUCAUAUUAGCUGUUACCUUUAGCUUUUGAACUCCAUUUUUCAUACCUCCCAUCAUUUUAUCCUAGGUGGCUAAAUUUGUGCAGUGGUUGCAAAUUAGAUUUGCCAUAAUGGUUGGAAAUAUAUUUCUCAUCCAGCCUAAGUAUGGCACAUGCAUUGAUUUUUAGUAGUGAGCAAUGAGUAGUACUGUUUUCAAUAUCAGGAUCAUUUGAUGCUUUUUAACUAAAAAAAGCGGCAAUCAUCUGUGGUACAAUGUCUAAAUGCAUUCAUUUGUAAGCCAAGUGGAGUUUCUGCUAAUUUGACAGGAGUACCAUGAACCCCAAGUUUAGAAAAUGAGUUGUGUCUACUUUGUUGAACAAAAGCAAUGAGAUUAUUUUUGCUGGGACAGCCUCAGGAAUCCUCGCCUGCAUCUUGGUGGCCCGCAUCUUGGGGACCUGUUCCUUGGUGCCAGUGAGGUCAGUCAAUAAGUCUAUGGUUUUGAUCUGUACUUGCAUUGUUGAGAUUAUGCUCUUGAUGUAUCAAAAUGUGUUUUUCCUCUUAACAAAAAAUGUGUAAGCAAUAAUCGCCUCGUGUCUAAUCAUCCAUAGUUUGUGUGAGUUCAAAAGGAAAUAUGUUGUAGUUUAGUUUAGAGCAACAAUUUAGUUGGCAAGUGACAAUGCAACUUGCAGUAUUCUCUAACUCACUGAACUCAUUUCAGUGGAGUUUUUACUUCACUGAUGAUCCCUGAUUUUUUUGUAAUAAAAAUGUUAUCACUGCAUAUUUUCUGCCUCUUUUAUAACUGUAAAUUGGUUCUAUCGUCUAACCAACAAGACUUAUGUCAGUAUAGAACUUCGAUAUUCAGAGUUCGCCUAUUUUGAAUUGUUGCUACCAAGUGAUUGAUUUGCUGUAAUUUUAUGGUUCGCACCUGCCAGGUUUAGGUGCCAGUUUUACUUCACAUGUUAGUCUUUGGGUUUCUGUAGUUACUUUGCAUUAAGACUUCAUCGCAUAAGAAAUAUACUUGCAUAGCUAUCUUUCAUAUUCUUCAACUAAUGGUUACCGUAUUAUACAAGUGGUUGAAUUGUGGGUACACUCAAUGGAAAAUAGUGCCUCUCAUACACCAUUGGGUGACAAGACUAACACUACUAAUAGAGGUAACCAAAAUAGAAGAGGAAUUAUUAUAUAUUAUUCAGUGUAUUGUUUAUAUUAUAUAAAUGAUAAUCAAUAAUAUAUGGAUGUAACAAUGCAGGAAGCGAUGUUGCACAACACAGGAAAGAAAGGGAUAAGGCUCGAUGGCACGCAAUGUCGCAAGAGAAAAAAGACGAAAAAAAUAAAAAACGUCGUGAAGCAUAUAAAAGAAGAAAGGAGCAACAACUAUGGAUCGAAACUACCGAUGGUUGUAUAUUAUAAAUGUUGGUGAAUAAUAAUAUAAGAUACUAUUGUUGUUUCUCAUAUUCGUUGUAUCAUAAUUGAUAGAUGCUCAGGAUUCAUCAAACAAGGAAAAUGUGGAUCCUAAUAAAACAGAUGAUUGGUUGCAUAGGAAUGAUUCACUCCAUGCAAACAAUAUUGAUGAAAUACUUAUAUCCAAUCCGAUGUCAGGUAAUAAAAUUAUUGUUAGUAUGGAAUCAACACCUACAUUAUUGUGUUGUGUAGCUUUAUAUACAACGAGAGGAUCAUUGAUGGAUAUUUGGUGUGUAUUGUUUGCCUUCCUACUAUCUUAAUUCAAACACGACUAUGUAGGUGAUGCUGGUGAUGUAGUUACUGCUCGCAGCAUAAUUAAUCAGGCAAUGCGAUCACAAUGCAGUGAUGCUUCACGUAAGAGAGAGUUAACAAAUGAGCAAGUCAUGGCUCAUCGUGCAAAAUGUAGGAUGCAACAUGCAAACAAGACACCUGAGCAACGGGAACAAAGGCGCAAGCGACAGAGGCUUUAUAAUCAAGUUCCAUCUCGUAAAGAGGCAAUGAAAGUGGCUAAAAAACGCUCCAGGGAGGUGCGGACACACACUUUAAACAAUGAGUCCAUCGCAAUGGAAAAUCCACUCUUUAAUCCAAUUAUGGAGUGGCCCACUGCAAACUCAUCUAUGCCAGCUCAUGGACCCACAGUAAGCCCUAGCGAUUGGGCUAUCCCAGAAUCCGCUACAACACCUAUUUGCUUCCCACAAGCUCCUGAUGAGACAAAUGAAGAUGAUGAUGGACGCAGUGAUAUAUCGCCUGGUCAUAUGACACAUAGAUAAAAUAUACCAUGUGGGCAAAGGCAUGCAUUGUUAACCCGCCGUAACAAUGUGUUUGAGCGCCUCAUCGGUCAGAACACGGGAAAAUCUAAUAAUGAGGGUGAAGACAACGUGGAAGAAAAUACGCCAUUACCUCAGUCAACCGUGACCAACAACGGUAAAUAAUGAGGCCUUCGUAUCCAUGUUCAUUCACAUGAAACAAACUUUAUUCCUACCUUAACUAUGUCCGUUAUGUGAUUGACAGGAAGCGCUAGAUCAAACAAUCAAAAUGCAUCAGCUACACCUGGACAACCAUUAUUUGAUGAUACAAGUAAUUUGCACUACUUUGAACAUUGUGUACAAUAUUUGUGUUCCUUUAAUGUUAUCUGAGUUGUAAUAUCUCAUGACAUUGUGAUAAUCUCAGAUGAUGAUGAGGGUGAUAUAUUUGAAGAUGAUGAGUAAGAGGAUGAGGGAUGCUUGUUUGCUGGGCAAGGUAUUUGUACCAAAUACCUAUUACCUUUUUAAUUAUCCGCUCUUUUAUCUAACCUUGAUUUUUUUUGUUCAAAUCAUUUCAACAGAAGAAUCAGAUGAUGAUGUCCAAAGUGAUACUACUGAGGAAGACACGACUUCUAACUUUGAAGGACCUGACCCGUAUGAAGUGGUGUAUAGUAACAUGCCUAGGGAGACACACAUGCUAAAACCUGUACCAGAUUGCAAACAUUGUGGAGCAAAGAGAUUUCCAAAAGAACCUCCUAGGUUUUGUUGUAGCAGCGGAAAGGUUGAGCUGCAUGCGCCUGUCGUACCAAACCAGCUCAUGAGGCUUUGGACAAGCUCUGACGCGGAUGCUAGGCACUUUUGUAACAAUAUCAGGUUUUUCAAUGGUCACUUCUCUUUCACUUCCCUAUAUUGUCGCCUCGACAGUGCUACUGCUAACAUUAGAAAUAGUGGCAUAUAUACUUUUCGUGCACAUGGCAUGAUCUAUCACAACAUAAGGUCAUUUGGCAGAGAAGAUGGUAAGGAGCCUAGGCAUCUUGAGCUUUACUUCUAUGAUGAUGAUCCGAGCCUUGAGUACCGGUACCGAAGGUGUCGUGAAGAGCAGUAUCAAAAAGAUAAAGAGGUUAUAAACAGACUCGUGGCCAUCCUUCGUGACAACCCAUAUUCACAACAUUUGAGGAGUCUGGGGAACACUGAACACCUCGAGGACUAUCGUCUUACACUUAACCUUGAUCAGCGAUUGGACCAAAGGACAUACAAUGUCCCGAUGGCUUCGGAGGUGGCUGCUGUUUGGAUCGAGGGUAGUGAACUCCUUGGUCAAUUUCAGAAUAGUGUUGUCCUGCAUGGGAAAGAUAGGAGCAGGCAUGGCAUCCGAUCGUACCAUGGAUGCUAUGAUGCUCUCUCAUACCCACUCUUUUUCCCUAGAGGUGAGCUUGGAUGGCACAUGGAUAUCCCAAAAAAAGGUGUUACUAUAGAGGAUGUCAACACGGCUCAUGCCCUGCGUAAGGCUCGUACUGGUAUUGAAGAAGAAGAAGAAACAGGUUUGUAUAUCUUCUUGUACUUUUCAUGCAAAUCAAAUCAUUAUCACAUGAACACCUCUAAUACCAUAAUUUUUUCAGACUCCCUAGGAAAUUUAUGUGUUUCGGUGCAUGACUACUACUGCUACAAGUUCUAGAUACGGCCAGGAAUAUUUAAUCCCAUACUUUAUGGCAAGCGUCUUUUCCAACAAUUUGCAGUGGACACGUACAUCAAAAUCGAGAGUUCUCGAUUGGAUUACAUACGCAAUCAUCAAACUGAGAUUAGAGCAGAUCUCUACCAAGGAUUGGUUGAUACCCUACAUGCUGGUGAGGGUAGAUCAGAAGCUGUUGGAAAGCAAACAGUGAUGCCUUCAUCGUUUAUCGGAGGCCCGAGGGACAUGAGGUGUAGAUACAUGGAUGCCAUGGCACUGGUGCGAAGAUUUGGAAAACCAGAUAUAUUCCUGACUAUGACAUGUAAUCCAAAGUGGAAUGAGAUCACACGUGAGUUGUACCCUGGACAAACACCACAGGAUUGUCCGGACAUUAUUGAUCGAGUUUUUAGGGCAAAACUAGAAGAGCUUAAGCACAUGUUGUUAAAAAAGGAUAUCCUUGGAAAGGUUCGUGCACACAUGUAUGUUGUGGAGUUCCAGAAGAGGGGUCUUCCGUAUGCACAUUUUUUGCUAAUCAUGGACAGACGCUACAAGAUCACGUGCCCAGAGAAGUAUGACCUUCUCAUCUCUGCCGAACUCCCAAACAAGAAGAAGUAUCCAGAUUUGUAUAAAAUGGUUACAAAGCAUAUGAUGCAUGCACCUUGUGGAAUACUUAAUCGCAAUUGUCCGUGCACAAAAGGCCGUGAAUCAUGCAAGAACCAUUACCCACGACCUUUCUGUGAUGCCACAUUACAGGGCAAGGAUUCAUACCCAUUUUAUAGAUGACGAGACAAUGGCUGAAAAGAAAAAGUUCGCGGAUACGAGCUUGACAAUAGAUGGGUUGUGCCUUAUAACCCAUACCUCCUACGUUUGUUCAAUUGCCGCAUCAAUGUUGAGGCGUGUGGGAGCAUCAAGGCUGUGAAGUAUUUAUUUAAGUACAUUUACGAGGGUCAUGACCACACGUUUGUGGCUGUAAGAGAGGCUGACAAGGAGGACAAUGAAGGAAAUAUCGAUGAGAUCAAACAGUACAGGGAUGCUAGAUGGAUAACUCCACCAGAAGCCUUGUGGAGGAUAUGUGGUUUUGAUAUAAGUGAUAGGUCCCCUUCGGUGUUGUCCUUGCAGCUCCAUCUUCCUAACAUGCACAUGGUGUCAUUUUAUCAGCGUGAGGGUGUUCGAGAUGUGCUUAAUCGUCCAGGUGUUGAAAGGUCGAUGCUCACAGCCUACUUUGAGAAGAACAACACAUCUGAGCAUGCUCGAGGUAUAUUGUAUUGAGACUUUCCUUAAUACUAUAAGUGGGACUCACAGGGAAAACAAUGGAUUAGGAGGGCACAAAAGAAUCAUUUAAGACAGAUUGGAAGAGUUGUAUGUGCUAAUCCGGCUGAAGGGGAGCGUUAUUAUCUUAGGGUGCUUCUAAACCACGUGGCUGGUGCUACCUCAUUCACUGAUCUAAGGAUAGUGUCUGGUGAACUACUACCGACUUUCCGUGAAGCUGCAGAAAGAAGGGGCCUCAUUGAAGCGGACAACACGCUGCAUGAGGGCCUUGCUGAAGCUACUCUGUGGAUGAUGCCAUGUGCACUACGAAGGCUCUUUGCAACAAUCUUGGUUUUCUAUGAGCCAAGUGAUGUAUUAGAACUCUGGGAAAAGCAUAAGGAGGCAAUGUCAGAGGACUAGAGGCGCAAUAACCAAUCCAGCUUUGCAGUGGAGCAGAUGGUCCUCAUAGAUAUUCGGAAGUUGUUACAAUCAAUGCAGAAGGACAUAAAGAUGUACCCACUUCCUGAUAUCGAUGACACAUAUGAUCCAUCUGGCGAUAUUCCUAGGGAGAUUUUUGAGGAGGCCAGCGUUGAGGCAAGCAUUGAUAACAUGGCACUAUCAAAGACCCUUAACGAGGAGCAGCAGGCAGCCUAUAAUGAGCUUAUGUUUGCUAUUGAUAGCGAUGAUGGGGGUUUGUUCUUUGUGGAUGCACCUGGUGGCACCGGAAAGACUUAUCUAUAUAGGGCUCUGCUUGCUACUAUACGUAGUCAGAACAAGAUUGCCGUGGCAACAGCAACAUCUAGUGUUGCUACAUCAAUAAUGCCCGGUGGCAGAACCGCCCACUCAUGCUUCGAGAUUCCCCUCACCCUUGAUGAUGGGGCAUUUUGCACCUUCACAAAACAGAGUGGUACUGCUAAGCUGCUUCGGACUGCAUCCCUUAUUAUUUGGGAUGAAGUGACGAUGAUGAAGCGGCAAGGUGUCGAGGAGCUAGACAACAGUCUUCGUGAUAUCAUGGACCGUCCUAACCUGCCAUUUAGGGGGAAGACUAUGGUGUUUGGUGGAUAUUUCAGGCAAGUUCUUCCAGUUGUUCGAAGAGGGUCUAGGACUCAAAUAGUUGGUGCAUCACUACGGAUGUCAUACCUUUGGAAUUCCAUGCGACAUCUCAAAUUGGUGCGAAACAUGAGGGCAAAGAACGAUCCAUGGUUUGCAGAAUACUUGCUACGCAUUGGGGGGCUCUGAGGAGGCUAAUGGUGAUGGUGAAAUUCGUCUUCCUGAUGAAAUAUGCAUACCACAGACUGGGAAAGACAGUGAUCUUGAUACGUUAAUUGACUGCAUAUUUCCUGCCCUCAAUGUCAAUAUGUCAAACAAUAGCUAUAUCACCACACGAGCAAUAUUAUCUGCACGGAACGACUCGGUUGAUAUGAUUAACAUGAAAAUGAUAAGUCGUUUCCAAGGGAAUGAGAUGGUGUACCAUAGCUUUGACAGUGCAGUGGAUGAUCCACAUAACUACUACCCAUCUGAAUUCCUUAACACUUUGACCCCCAAUGGUCUCCCUCCACAUGUGUUAAAGCUCAAGAUUGGAUGCCCGGUCAUAUUGCUAAGGAACAUCGACCCUGCGGGUGGACUUUGUAAUGGAACCAUGUUGGUGGUUCGAGGGUUCCAAGGAAAUAUUAUCGAUGCAGAAAUUAUGGUUGGAGAUCAUGUCGGAAAGCGAAUCUUCCUUCCACGAAUCCCAUUAUGGCCCUCGGAUGACGAGAUUUUCCCGUUUCAGUUCAAGAGGAAGCAGUUUCCUAUUAGACUCAGUUUUUCCAUGACGAUUAACAAAGCACAGGGGCAGACUCUUCCCAAUGUUGGUGUGUAUUUGCCUGAACCAGUGUUCUCUCAUGGUCAGCUGUAUGUUGCACUAUCUAGAGCCACUGCCAGAUCAAAUAUUAGGAUCCUUGCAGUCCCGCCUAGAGAUAAGAGUGAUAAUGGUAAUAAAAAAAAUACAAGAAUAAAUGGUACAUACACAAAAAAUAUUGUCUAUAAAGAGGUCCUCACUCUAUAAAAAAGGUAGUCUUCUGUUUUGGUCUACUAUUAUAUUCUUACAUUAUGCCCUUAAUUAGUGACAUUUUUCGUGUCAUAUCAAACUGAAUAAUAUAAGAACUCCGAAUGAAUUUAUGCCCUUCUGCAUUGAUUCGUUCAUAUGUUAUUGACUGGAUGUACAAAAUGUUAUAUUAUUUCUAAUAUGUUUUUUCUUGGAUUAAUAUUUAAAUUUUUACGUUAAAAGGUAUUACUGACUAAGCGAAUGUUGUUGGUUGCUAUAUUGGAAGAGAAAUAGAGAGCAAUUCAAUGUCCACACCCUCCAUCUGAGGUCCCAGGUGACUAGGCCGCUGCCGACUGGUGCCCAGAUCUACAGUCCACUGAGUGCCGCACACUGCCUUUGGUUUGAAUAAUUUUAUUGGGUGAAAAAUAAUUAUUUAAAUCCGAUUUUAGGUUUGAUUUGGUUCUCGUUCUGUUUAUAAUAUUUACACUCAAGAGUUUAGUUCAAAAAAAUUAUAAGUUCUAUAAAUAUUUUAAACAGAAUUUCAAAAUUUUAUUACCUUCAAAAAGCAAUUGAUUUUGAUUUUCAAAUGAAUUUACAAAAGAAAAGGAAAAUAAAAGGGAAACCUCCCUCCCCUCUCUCUGGCCCAGUCCGGCCCAGUAAAAUCUUGGGUCAACUAUCAGUAGGGGGAGCACAACGCCUCCCUAUCCCUGAGUCACAGACAGUCGGAGCCCGCCUGUCAGCCUUUAUCCUCUUGCUGACAAGUUGACCCCACUUGUCAGGGUCAUCCCUUUCCUCUGUCCAUAUCCGUUCGUGGCCGGGUCUCACUGAGCCAACCGAAGGACCGGUUCUAAAGGGGACGAAGCUUGGCCGCCGCCGCUCCGUGAUCCUCUCUUGCCUCCCCGGUCUUGCGCGCACCGAGUCAGCCAUUUCUGCUCCCUCCUCUGUCAUUUAAAGCGAGCUCUCUUCCACCUGCAGCACCAUCGUCCACGUCCUCCUUCUCAGUGCCGAGCUAAAGACGAGAACACCGCCAUAAGUUCCGCGGUGAGCUCCUUCUCUUUCUGCACUAAGCUUUUACGCCCUCCGUGGUCUUUAGAACGAGCCGAACUUGCUCUGGCAAUGCUCAUCCCACAGGUUAUGACGCCAUUGUCGCGGUUUCUCCCUGCGGCGGAGAAGGAGGCGGCGGAGGGCAGUGUAGUCGGAGUCGGGGCGGGACGAGGAGGAGGUCUGUGGAUGAUGGUGCUGCAGCUGAGGAAGACAGGGUCCGUCGGCAUGGAAGGGGCGGUGGGGCACUCCGGGGAGGAGGAGGAGGAGGCCGCGGCCGAGUCGGCGGCAGCCAUCUCCACCGUCUCGCAGUCCGCAUGGCCGGUCGUUCGCGCGCGCCCCGGUGAGAAAUGAGGGACGAGGCCAGGCGGGGACUUGGAUGUCGGGGAAUCGGGCACUUCGGGCGGUCGUACGUGCGUGUGCUGGCAAGAAGUGGCUUGUUUCGUGUCCGUGACCUGUAGUGUCUGAACUUCGAUGUGGGCAAAUUCAGUUUUGAAUUGUUUUAGAUGCAAAUACAAUUUAUAUGUUUCAAAUAUGUUUUGAUACUAACUAAUUUAUUUAUAGUAUUACACAUUAUGGCUAUAUACGCUGCAUCUUUUGUAUCAUUGGAAGAUGCCUUGAGCUCUCCAAACAACACACAAGUUGACUUAAUAGCAGUCGUGGCUCAUGUCGGGUUGUGGGACUGCCAGACAUUAUUUCCUAACUCGUUUAGGGAGGUUGCACUCAAAGAUAAUAGGUAAAUGUUUAUUUGAAGAAAAAUAAUCUUUUUAAUGUCCUUGUGUUUUGUUUAAUCAUACUAAUAACUAUUACUAUUUUUUUAUGCAGCCGAAUUGGAUUUCUUCGUGUGUUCGCAUAUGAUGCUGAAGAAAACUACCACAUGUUUUUUUCAGCCGGUACUGAGAAUUAUUUUCUCAUUCCCACUAAUGUGGUUGUCGACUCAUAUGCACGUAAGUUUAUAUGAACAUAAUUAAAUUUUGGUAUUACCAACAACACAAAUAAUAAGCCUCAAUUCAUAUCAAUACAUCAUAGGUUGUCUGACAAUGACCGCUCAUAGUUCCAUGAUUUUUGUGGGUCCAAGGGAGUAUUGUCCUAUUUUUGCAUCUCUAGAAGGUAACUUUCUCAUCCUAAUUAUAAUAAUAUUAUAUAGAAUUAUAAACAUCCUGUUAGAGACAUCUAAUAUUUAUUUUGCAGCUAUCAGAGACGAAAUGCGAAAUAUCGCUUGUUACAAUGAUCAAAUUAAAAUUGCACUCAAUGCUCGAGCUAAUGAGAUCAAAAGGCUCGAAUACAAUGAAUGUACAGCUAUGGCAAACAAUCAAGGUGUCAUUAGUUACGUUAAUGGUUGCAACAUUUAAGAGGUAGAUGAAGAAGUAUUUGUGAUUAAAUAUUAGUCUUUUGUUGUAUCAAGAUUCUUCAAAGCAUCUUGUUUUACAAUAAAUGAAUGUACCUACACUCUACAAUUCAUCUCUUGUAACGUAACGAUUAAAUCUAUCAAGGCUCAUUACAAUCAAUGCUCAAUAGAUUAUUGAUCAUAAAUCUUGGUCAAAUUGCAAAAAGGUAUUGAUCGUAAAUGAUUAUUGCCCAAUAUUUUUGGUCAAAUUGCGAAGAAAGAGCAAAAUUUGAUAACAAUAGUUUAAUCGUAAAUGAUUAUUGCCCAAUAUUUUCAGAGACACAAUUGAUGUUUCUAUAAAUUAAGAAGAUAACAUAAUUCACAAAAAAAAAACAUGCAUGACCUGGUCAUGCCACAACAUAACUAGCGAGUCAGCCACGGUCUCUACCACCCGAAACUCACGAAAGCAUGACUGCCGUCAACACUGCCAGGCUUCAAUCGGUAGUUUCCAUAUCGAACCUCUAGCUCCCUCCGACUUACAAUUGCCCGAGACGGCGCACCUGGCUGCCGCCUCGACGCCUCUGUGACCCAGCACGCGGUUAUCCUCCAAUUCGGCGCGGAGAGCUCGGUGGCCCUCCCUUCGACGUCGCCUCAACUUGGCACGGGGCUUCAUCUGCACAAAGGCGGACGUCAACUUGCCAGGCCGUCCUGUUCCGUCACAUCGGCCGAAGUCUCCUUCUCCACCGCAGCAACCGUUGUUCGACACGCGCUCGUCGACGACGCUGGAUGCCACGACACCACAUGUAGGCUUGGCUGGACCACCUCCACCUCCAUCACGAUAGAUGCUGAGGUCUCCUUGCCACCGCUGCACACAGAUCUUCGUUGGUCGCUUCAUCAGAGUGUUGUCGGGGACCCAAGAGGUAUGCCCUUGUCAAAAAACGAAAGAGGUAUGCACUUGGCUAACUGAUGCUACAUAUGUGUUGGCGUGUUGGUCUUCUAUGUGGUACAUUUUAAAUUCAGGCUAAUAUAAACUAUGGAUCAUUAGACAUAGAGUUAAUUUGUUGCUUACACUUUUUUAUAUAUCAAGAUCAUGAACUCGACAAUGCAAGUACAAAUCAAACCAUACGCUCAUUGACUGACCUGAAUAUGGAAAAUUUAGAAUACAAGAUGACCAGGAGACACUGAGUCAGUGCAUUUUACCUAAACUUUUUAAGCUCAUUGACUGACUUGAACAUUGUUCAAACCAUAAGCCAAUUGACUGACCUGAACAUGGUUCACUAUAUUUUCUUCCUCACAUAUCUGAAUCAGUGCAUUUUACCUACACUUUUUAAGCUUGAACUUGCAUAUUGUUUAGAACUCUGAACCCCACUGCUUACAACUUUGAAACCCUAUACUCUUAAUUCAACCCUAAAAAAAUGAGAGAGACAUAGAGAGAGUGGAAAGCGAUGCUGGAGAUGGAGUAUCAACCAGUUCUUUUAAAAGACAUGAUACUGAAUCUACAAAGAUCGUGAUGCCAAUCAGUUUUUUGAAACAAUGUGGAGCAGCUAGCAUACUUCUUUUGCACAGCUAUCUUAACUGGUUCGAGUUAAAGUAUAUAUGUAUAUCUAUAGCGCCCAUGAGAAAAUUCCUUACAGGCUACAACGCUGAAAAAUCAAUGUGUAAAAUACAGUAGGGCUAAAGAAUAAGAACAUUUCCUCUUCAGCGUAAAUAGUGUCAUUUUAUCAGCAUUUCCUUCACCUUGAUGUUAUAUGCAUGCACCCAAAAAAGUGCAAAACCAAAGAGAUAGUAGUCUCAUACCUUGAGGUUGACCAUACAGAUAGUGUUAAAUGUAAAGUUACUCACCCUGUAUACGGCGCCAUGCAUAGCUAUGCUGUGCAGGGGGCUUCCAAGAACAACUUUUGCAUGUCCUCCUCCCAUUUCUCCUUCUACAUGGAUAUCAUGUAUGGCUCGGCUUGCAUGCCUAAACAGCAAGUGCCAAAAGUGUGAGCAAAGUGAGAGGUCCCCAACUUACCUGAAAAUGAGACAUGCCUAUUUCUGAGUAAGUAGAACCACCAAGCCUGACAGCAAUAAAUAGAGAAAGUAAUAAAUAUAGAACUUUAGAAAAGAAAAAGGCUACAAUAAUAUAUCAAACAAAUCAGCUCAUUUCUCUUGAAGUUUUGUAAGAUAUUCUAAUUAUUUCCCAAAGCAAAAUACAAAAUUAAACGCCUAAAUAAAUAACUCUCCACAUAUAGUUGGCCACUGCGAUGUUGCUGCUGCAAUGAACCAAUCUGAAGUUACAUAUUCCUAAUCAUCAUUACCUAACGGCUGAACUUUUGUAAUUAAUUUGUAGACCAAAGAUGCCAACAAGUCUUAGUUUGAAGAGAGUACGUGCUGAGUUUGUUCGGAGCUCUGAGAUGCCCAGGUAAAUUUCAAAUCUCAUAUUCUAAAAAUGUUAUAAUAGCUAUGAACAUUUGUUAGUAUAUGCCCAGUUAAAUUCACAUGUGUUCUCUGUCAUUUUUCUUACAGAUUUAAGAGAUUCCAAGACAUUCAACUUGUUGACAUUGGUUACUCUUGGAGUAUUACCGUUAGAAUUGAAGCAAAGUUCCCUUUUAAUCAAGACUUUCAGCGCUUCAUCCUCAUGGAUACUAUGGCGAGAUUCAAAAAUAAUAGAAGUAAAAUAGUUUCAUUCACAAACUAACACAGAUGGUAAUAAUGUUAUAUAUAAUUGUAGGGUUGCAAAUUAGUGGCGGUCGUGAGUGGCCCCGAUACCGAGAGGUUCAACAGGUUACUACAACAAGGACGUGACUACACAAUUCGUGAUGUCAGAUUCCAAGUUAAGCCGCACACUGAGUUUCGCAAUAUUCAAAGCAAUUACGAUUGUAGGUUGGACCGUUUGACUACAGUGGAGCGUUGGAACAUGCCUAUACAGUUUCCCAUGUGCUCGAAUCAGUUAACGUCCAUCCUUGAAGUCAUGCAUUGCCCAAGCAAGACCUAUAUAGGCAUUUUUAAAGUCUCCACUCUCUUACUUUACCUUUGUACUAAUACAUGUACUAUUUAUAUAGACAUUGCGGGAAUUCUUGUGCACUGGGGGAAAGUUGAGAGACCGCGUUCAGGGCUGUGUAGAGAGGUUGUCCUCAUGGAUUCAAGGUAAGAUUUAUAGCUUGUAACUAUUUUUUUCUAAUAUACAAUCAGUUUUUUGAAUGCCUCCUAUAUUCUAACACAUAAAUAUAUGUAAUUAUAGAGGUGAUUUGAUAGUUGUGAUCAUGUCAUGCAAAGUCUUGGCUGCACAUAAAAUAAAGCUGCAAAAUGCCACUAGUACAACACCGCUUUCUAGUGGCGGUUCUAGAGGGGUUUGUACAAGCGGCAGACAGUACCGCCAGUAGCUUUCGCCAGUACAAAACAAAAAUUAUACAAGCGGUUUAUCAAGAACCGACUGUGUUAACAAUUUACACUAUCGGCUUCAUUUGUACCACCGUCGCUUGUGUAAACAAUUUACACUAUCGCAUUUAUUAUAUGAUCCGCUUCUGAAAUGUCUUUACACAGUCGGUUUGAUAACAAAAUGCGCUGGUUGAAGGUCAUUUACACUGACGGUUUGUAUAGCAAGCCGUCUGUACUAUAUAGCCAGAUAUAGUGUUCUUUUUUGUUUAUGAUCUACCUAAUUGUUUGGCGAAAUAAUUCUCUGUGCACAUGCUUUUCCUGGAUCUUGAUAACUAUGCAGAAAUACAUACAUAUUGAAAAUUUAUUCUUUUUGUUUGAAAAGCCCAUGCACAACUGAAUAUAUGUCUAUUUUGGUAAUGAACUAGAAGAUCAAGAUCUUAAAACACUUUUUAUUAGUUUUAGUUAUGUGUUUUGGUAUUGAUUAUUUGUGAGGCUAUGAGAAUUUAUAUAUGUUUUACCCAUAACAACGCAUAGGCACUCAAGUAUACACUAAAACAGAAGACUACCAAAAGAAUAAGAGAAUAACUUGUGUAAGAAUCACUAACCUUAGGUGGCAUUUCAGGCCGUUGCUGCUAUUCUGGGCCGCCGGCUGAUGCAACCUAGCUUUGAUUCUGGCCCAUCGGUCUGCCAGCGAAAAUCAAUUAAUCAAGCCAAUUGUAUUUUUGUUAUAAAAACUAAAAGGGAAAGACUGUAGUGGGAACGAAAUGUGCAUACUUUUAUAUCUGAUGAAAAAUUUGUUACUGUUUUCUGGGAACCUCCUUUCUUGAGUUGAAAGUUCAUCCACAUUUGCCAACAGUGGUAACUGAUAUUAUUGUGACAAAAUGUUAGCACAACCAGUUUCUUUACAUGAAACAAACACAACACUGAAGACAAACAUUAUCAAGGAAACAGUACGAAAAGACAAGAGCUUGCCUUGAUUAUUUGAGAAAUUAAACCCAUGACCAGAUGAGGCUGCAAGCAAAUAGAAAUAAAUUUCAGUAAGAUUACUAAGAGACUUGUAUGAAUUCUUUAAAAUAUAAAAAAGAUCAGCAAGCAAUACAGUGGCUGCUAGAAACAGCACCCAAAUCUGAUCAUGGAGGAUGUAAAAUGAAGUAAAUCAAACAAGACAGAUCAUAACUUCAAUGAAAAUUAUGAUACCUGAAAGGCUUGGAUGUUACUAAAACCUGCGGUAGAAUCUAAAGGUCAUUUAAGUUACCCUAAACAUUCACUAUCAAACCGAUAAUCAAGUGGGAUCAAUUGAGAUUGAUUGAUUCUUUCAUGGUACCAUGGACGCAAAUUUCAAGUAUCUUGAAUUUGCACAACAACCAUCAAGCUAACCAUAUGUUACCACUCCAACUUUACAUGAUUGUCCCGUGGUGGUCAAGUGGCAACCACCAGCGUGCUGAAGUACGGACAUGAAACUAAAAAACCUAUAUAGACAAUUUACGUAUAAUUUCGGGCCGUGGCUGCUAUUCUGGGCCGUCGGCUGAUGCAACCUAGCUUUGAUUGUGGCCCAUCGGUCUACCAGCGAAAAUCAAUCCUGUUUAGAGGUUACGAUCAGUUAGCAUAAAAGGGAACUCUGGUAACAUUUGCCUAAUCAAUCUGCUAAAUCCUCGGAUCAAGUCCUCAUCCACGCGAGGUCAUUGCGCCUUCCAAGCAGAAGUACUGAAGGACUACUACGUCUACGUCUUCGAGGUGCCGCCGCCAUCAAAUCAUCAACACACGUCCGGCCGUCAUAAAAACAGUAUGUUUCCUAUCCCAAUUGGCGUUACGUAGGCGGGGGAAAGGGGGGAAUAGCGUCACGCAGAUGGGUGGACGGGGAAUGGGAGCCGCGUGAACGUACCUUGCCAAUCUUCUCGAAGUAGUCGGUGAGACACAGGUUCCAUUCGUUGAUGGUGUUGUCGGUGAUGGCGGAGAGCCAGGCGGGCCAUCCGGCGUCGAGAUGCUCCCCGCGCGCUGUGUUGGCGAAUCCGGGGCCGGGGACGCUGCAUAACGAGCGGGAGCGACUCUACCGCCAGGCCGGCUGCUCUGCUGGUGCUGUCGGCUGCUCUGCCUUCCCGGUGGCCUCCUCCGCUGCUGCGGGGGCCGGCGGCUCGGGUACUGGACGCGGAGGGCUGGCCAUGGACGCAGCCAUGGGGAGAUCCUCACCGGUGAAGUCUCAUGGGGGAAGGGCGGCUGCGACUGCUGGUCGGUGCUGGGCGCGGAUGGGCGGCCGUGGACGUAGCCUAUUGGAAGAUCUUCACCGGCGCUGUCUCAUGGGUGAACUCGAGAGGGGGAGGAUCGCUCCGAGAACACGAGGAACUGGACAAGGGAUUGGAGUGGAGCGGAUGCGGCGACUGCGGCUGAUGGUCGGGUCGGGUCUGGAAGCAGAGGCACGGGCGGAGCUGCCAAGCUGGGCUUUUUGCCAAUCUGCCACUGUGCUUCUGCGGAGCUGGGAUCUCACACUUGUAUUUUAUUAUAUGUUAUAAUUAAUGUAUGAUCUACUCCCUCUUUAAAUCAUAAAUCAUAGGAAAUUUUAUUGUUUCUUCAAGCUGCCUGACAUACAAUUUAUGAAUUUUUAGAUGUUGUUAGUGACGAAACCAUGUAAUAAACAAGAGAAAAAGGUGUGCCCAUCCAGGUCGGUGUUGCAAUAUAAUAAACCAAAGAAAACGGACACGGUCAAAAGUCAACCUCAAGGUUCUUACUUUCAUUGACCCUUCCUAUUUUUCUUUCGCUAAUGAGACCUUCUAAUUCUUUAUUUUCCUGUGUUUUAUGCAGAUUAUGUUUGCAACGCCGAAGAUUAUAGUACUAUUGAAAAUAUUCUGUUGCAACCAAAAAAAAGUAUUGGUGGACAUCCAGGGAAUGACCAUAGAACGCCAUAGAACGAGAUAUUUUGGAAUGCCUCUUACAUGAUAAUAGAUUUUUGGAAGGAGAUGUAAGUAUAUGCAUGCAUGAUUUCAUGUUUCAAAAUGCUUUGCUUAUUCUGAUUCUGAUUUACUGCUUGCAAUACAUAUAUAUAUAUAUAUAUAUAUAUAUAUAUAUAUAUAUAUAUGCAUAGGUCUUAAGUGCCUACAUUGAGCUUAUGAGGUCCGAAAAACAUCUCCAAAACAGAGCUGGUGGAACGGUAUUCCUAGAGAAUACGUUCAAUACAAGUAUUCUACAGCGUGAUGGCAAGAUAAAUGAGGAAUACCUCGAUCCUAAGGUAGAUCACAUAGCAAAAAGGGUGUGCAACUAUUGGGAAUAUGACAUGGUAAAAUUGUGCAUCUCAAGCCCAUAAAUGUCGUUAUCAUUUAGGUGUAUUCCAUUAUAAUAUUUUAACUUUUGAUUUAGGUAUUUCUUCCGAUCAACAUCAAAGACUUUCACUGGUACCUUGCAGUGGUGGAUGGUAUAAAUGAAGAGAUACAUAUGCUCGAUUCAUUAGGUAAAACACAGGAGAAUCGUUAGGAACUUGUCUAUACGGUUAGUAAAAUAUUAACUUUAUUUAAAAGUUCUGCCUGAUUGUUAUUUUUUUAUUACUGACUAUGUGUUAUAUUAGAUAAUUGGCCUACAGAGACACAUAGAUAUUGUAGCAAAACAUAAAGAUAUACAAACAAAAUGGAAGAACCUUCAAGUUCAAGAUUGGAAAUUCAAUGAGGAAUUCACAAGUGCCAUGCAAACAGAUGGGUAUAAUACUCCAUCAUAUGUAUCAUACAAAUACAAUUAUUUAAAAUUCAACUAAUAUACUAUAGAUAUAACUGUUAGUGUUACGUUUUCAUGUUUCAAAAUUGGUAGGUCAUCAUGUGGCUUAUUCAUGCUUAACUACAUGGAAUAUUGGAGAGGAAAAGGAAAAGGUCUAUCAGACAGUGUAACUCAGGUAUAUAGGAAUAAUAAUGUUUUAUUUGUUGAUUUAUUAUAUUUUUUUUAGUAACAUGUCAUCAAAAAAUAAUAUGCAUACAAGAUGAUACAUAGGGUGAUAUGAUUCAAACUACUUGCCAUUUUGUUGAACUGCCAACAAAAUGCCCGGGAAUGGUGGUUGACUUCCGAAACUGAUGAUAAGGAAGAAGAGAGUAUAGAUGAAAUUGAAAUUUUAGAUAGACCACUAAAAAAAAGCAGGGGUGAGAAGUCAUAUGCCUAUGAAGAAGAUUUAAUAUUGUCCAGGGUUUCAAAUUAUAUCAACUCCAUUAGUGAUGCAACUACUUUAGAGUAAGUCACCUCUAUUAUAUAUAUAUAUAUAUAUAUAUAUAUAUAUAUAUAUAUAUAUAUAUAUAUAUAUAUAUAUAUAUAUAAUAGUUGGUAUUUUCCUUUAAUUAUAUGCAUAAUUUUUUUGUAGGUCCUUUGCAAAGAAGUUAGCUGACAUGUUGCAAAAUGCUAACGCACAUGCCCUUACAUUUCGUGACUUGCCAAUGGGCGAACAAGAAUUAAGAGACCGUGUUUGCAAUUAUAUCAUGACAAUUAACGAAGAUAUGGCUUUAGAGUAAGUUUAUUUUCGUGAUAAAUGACAAAUCAUAUACCACGUAUUGUUACAUGUAUACAAAUAUUCAUAUUUUACAGGCAAAAAUGGGUUGUAAGUGCAAAGCCCUAUCCGAUUGUGUUGAGUCUCAAGAAAACCCAAAGGAUGUUAAACAAGAACGAGGGAAUUCAUGAUGAUUGUUUUAACCUGGUAGCACGGAAGUUUGCUUUUGAAGAACUUGAAAAGUUGAAGGGAACAAACAAGAUUGUGUCAAAGCAUUACAUGGAUUUAAAGUUUUCGGUAGGUUUUACUUUAUAUAAUGGCAUGAUAUAUAAUCACUAUUUCUUUUGUUGUAUAUUUCUAGACUUUCAUUCAUUAUAUUACUAUAUAGCUUGCAUGUCAACUAAGUAAUGGUGACGAGUAUCGAACAAAAGUUGAUUAUAACCAACUGGCAAAAUUUGCUCUUGAAUGUCCUUGGAGAAAAUAUAAUGUUAAAGAGUGCACAUGGGUAACGUUGUUUCUCUUAUUAUGUUCCUUGCAUCUUUUGUGUAAAUAAAUACCAUGUUAUUCUUAAAUAUCAUAUUACUGAGAUGCUCCUUUUCAAUUACAGAUUCUAAUACCACUUCAAAUGGUUACAGCAUGAGGUAUUUAUAAUCUUUUUUGUUCAAGACAUGUCUAGAAGAGCUCUCUACAUAGUAGACCAAACUCCUAAACCUGAUCUUUACAAGAUUCAACCACUAAAAAAUAUACAAACAAAAUUCAAAGGGUUUCCACUGCCCUAAAUGAAGUCAUGAAAGUUUCAUGCCCUUGGUGGCGAGAUGAUUUAAUCCUCUUUGACCAUAGAGUUGCAGAAGUCAACCAAUUUGAGUUAAAUGGGUAAAUACUUUUACAAUAGAAACUAUUUGUUUUUAUAUUCUACUAUAUAUAUAAUAGUAAUAAUUUAAUGCUUCCUCAGGGACUUGUCUGGUUAUAAUGUUCUACUUGCUAUGCAUGCGUGGAAUGGUAAAAGGAUAGAAACAUCCAUUUGCAAUAAUGUGAGUAUUGACCUUUGUAGAUUAUUAUUGUUUUUUCACCUCAUAUAUUUGUUUAACUAAACCUAUAUAUGUGUAUAAAAAUCUUACAGGAUAAUUAUGAAGUGAGGAAGCAUAUAUUGCUACACCUACUCACAUAUACCGGGAACAAAAAUAUUGCCAACAUACCUAAAGGUGUUCGAGAUCACCUUGAACGCUAUAUUUGUCUCACAAGCAAAAAAAGAUGAAUUGUUUCUUAUUUUUCUACUUGUUUCUUUAUUUUAAAUAUAAGUAGAUUGAGAUGUGUGUUUUAAUAUUAAUUAUUAUUAUAUUAAUUGUGAUGAUAUGGAAAUUAACGUAUAAUUUGUUGUGUGAUGUGUUACCCGUAGCGACUUUACGUAUAAUUUGUUGUGUGAUGUGCUACCCGUAGCAACGCACGGGCACUCAACUAGUGAGUAUUAAGCAUCACAAUAAUAACCAUAUCCGGAUUAUCACAUAGCUAUCAUCAUUCUCAUCAUAACCAUUAAGUUUAUUUAGUGAAUUCUACGUUGCCGCUGCUCGAGUCAAGUUCUCACUAUCUGGGAGAGACGACAAUUCGAAUCGAUUCAUAUCCAGCUGGAGGGGUAUUCCUAGCACUCACCCAAGCAUACCUCGCGAGGGCAGCUUGGAUCACCUUUAGCACAACUCCGGACCAAGUCGCGGGUCCGUCCAGCGCCGCACCCCCAAGGACCACCAAUCUGCCAGGGCAGGACUCCAACCUGACACCUUGGGCUUACGUCAUUUACUUCCCGCACAUCCUUGCUACCAACCGGGGUGCGCACUCAUACAGAACCGGGUAUCCGGCCUGAGUUGCACUCGUAGGCUUCGCGGUUGGAACGACUUUUCCGGCCAACUAAGUGUUAGGCAUGCGUUCAACAUGACACGAGGACGUACAGCAAAUCGGUCCUUAACCGACACAGACGGGGAUAGAUUCACACCCAAGACCUCCAUGCCUUGUUGCUGCACUAUCGUCAUCCCGUCCGGUCUCAAUUCAUUAUUAGUCUUUGGUUAUUUCCACGAUAGCAAAUAUAACCAACCGUGAUCAAGUAUCCACCUAUCUCUCGCAGGUGACAGGAAAUCACCCGGCUUGUACCGAGCUAAGCAUGGCUAAGCAUCAUUUCGAUCCUGGACCUACUUAGGUAAGUUAUGAGGUGGACAAGGUAGUCAUUAUGCAGCAAGGGUGUCAUAUCAACGCCUAACACUUAAUGCAACAAUACAUAACCAUAGUUAUUUGACAGCUGGACAUGAUAACAAAAAAAUAGUAGGAGGCUUAUAAUGCUCCAGGGCUUGCCUUCGAUGUAGGUAGAGGGACGAUGGUCGGGACACUCCGGUAGAUCCUCCUCCUCAGCUCCUUAAGGUGGCUCCCCCUGCUGCUCCUUCGGCUCGGGUGGUGUGAACUCCAAGACCGUCACGCCCUUGGGUACACCUAAGUAUGCAUGACAAGGUGAUGAAUAAAGGGAAUGCACACAUGAUGCAUGAUGUUAUGAUGAUAAGCCAAAAGAACAUGAAACAAGAUGCAACAUGAUCAAAAGUUCCUAAGAGUAAUUGAAUCCUGACUAAGUAAGUAAGUGCAUACUUCUUCUCUGGUAGAGAGGCUAACUAGACAAGCUACUCAACCGUAGCUACUCACACUAAGUAACUGGUGUCAUGGACAGAUUAGCUUGUCAUAAGAUUCAGCUAUAACCUAGGCAUCAUUUGGCCAAACUAAGCAAGUGGGCACUUUCUGGAAAGCUUAACAAAUUUUCUACAAUUAGCUUUCAGACAUCCAAGAAGGAUUCCCAGCCGAAAUAGGUUGAAACAGACAAAGUUGGCUGGCUGCUUUGGAAAAUCCAGAGAGCAAGCACUUUGCAGCAACUUCAUGCAAUAGUCAUAACUAGUCAUAACUUUUAAACUACUCAGCCAAAUGUCAUGGAAUUUGGACACAAGGUAGAUAAGUAAGUUAGCUACAAGUUUGUUGUAGAUAAGUUUUCCAGAAAACCUCACCUUCAAGCAGUUCUUAAACAAUUGCUAUCAGCUAUACAGAAUAUGCUCUAGGAAAGACAUAAGUAGCAAAAUAAUAUUUUGACACAUACUAAGAAUGUAACAUUGGUUGAAACCAAAUGCACCAGUAGAUAGAACAUGUAUAAGAAACACCAGAAAACAUCAUGGCAAGGUUUAAACUCAUUUCUAUUAUCCCCUUUUCUAUUUAUUUGAUUAUUAGGAUGAUUUAAUGAGCAUGUAACACAAGUGCUCCAAAAAUUCUAAUACAAUUACAGCAAGCCAACUAGACCACCACCAGUUCACUGUAAAAUUUUCAGGGCUCUUGCACAUGCAGAUUGUGAGAUACAAAAAUGACAAGCUAACAAUGGCAUUAAAGGCAUAAUUGUGAAACCCUAUCAAAAAGUGCCAAACAACAGAUUUCAUAUUUUUCUUAGUUUUUCUUAGACAUGAUUACAUCACUCAGCAAGUUUCAACAUAAAAGGAGUUAUAACUUAUUUACUAAAAAUAAUGAAACUUCUAUUUAAACAAGAAUUAUUUAAAACUCCACCAACAGUUAUCCAAAAAUCAUGAUAAAUUUACAAGAGCCUAUUCACACCUUAAGUAACACUCUCCUAAAUUUUCAUGGCCAUAAGACUCAUAGAUCUCAAGAUAUAAUUACCUCCUAUUAAACAAGAUUAAAUCAUAUCUAUCUAUUUAUGCAAAAACAUGGCAUGUUUUAUAUUUUUAAUAAAAACUAGACUAACACAAGAACCUAACAAAAUUGGAAUCACUCCAUUUGGAUCUGUAUAGCUCGAGUUAUGAAUUUUACAAAAACAACACAGGAUCUGCAAAAUAGUAGACACCACACACCAGGGAGAGAGAGACAGAGGCUGACAGGUGGGGUCUGCUGACAGACGGGACCCACGCGAUAGAGAGACAGAGACAGGGGAGAGCUCGUCACCGGUGAAACUCGACGACGGCGAGGUCUCGGUCGAAUCCAAGGGCACCAUCGUGACCCUCUCACCAAGGCGGACCUGCCGAGGUGCAAAACCCUAACUCUACCAAGCUCUAGAGGCUCGUCGGUGUGAAUGGCGGCUCGGCGGCGCUGCGGGCGGUACGCUGGCGUGCUCUGCCGAUGCCGUCCCAGUUGAGCUUCACGCCGAGCAUCAGUGAGUCAAGGGGAAGCUCUAGGAACAAAAAUGAGAAGGAAUGGUAGAGCAGGGAGGUUUGGCCAUGUCGCCGGUGAUCUCUGCGAACUCCAGUGAGGUGGAGCUCGCGACGGAGUGGACAAUGUGGCCUCACGAGUGCUCGGCUAAGGGAAAGAGAUGUACGUCGAGGUAGAGGACGUCGAGGCGGCGCUCUAGGCGGGCUGGCUUGGCCGGAGACACGGUGGAGCGGUCGGGAAAGCUCGCCGAAGCACGGCGGAGCUUGCCGAGAACGAAGGUGGAGGGAAUGGAGCGCUCUGAGCGAGUGGAGGUCGCGUCUGAGGCGUCCUUGCGGUGUGUGGCGACUUAUGGGCGACGCUGGAGCUGACAGGAGGGCCAUCGACGGCGUACGGCCGACAGGUGGCCGGACAUGUGGCGGCGGGUGAGCUCUGUCCCAACUGAAUCGGGCGAUUCAGUCGCCGUGGACAGUAACUGAAACUCGAUUUUCAUCAACGUUUUACUCUCAAUUCACUCGAUGGUUUUGGCUCGGAUUUGUUCCUUUAGAUAGAUCUACAUGAGUUCUCAAGAUUGCUUAAAGGAUCAAGGUCUAACUCGGCCUGGAUUUCAAGCUAUAGAGCUCCCAAGUACCCUAUAUCGAAACUGCCGAUUCCAGACUUUGCUAAAUUCGGCUAUGUGUGGAAACAGCCCUAAUUUCUGGCUUGUGAGCAAAUUUUGAAUGUGUUCCAUGCAUUUUCAUAAAAAAUCAUCAACACAACUUUUGUAGCUUAUGAAAUUUACUACAACUUUACUUUAGAUGUCAUUUACAUGCAAGGUCUCUAACACUGGUUUCAUAAAAGGUCUUUGAAAAGAGGUUUAGGGGGGUCAACUAGGCCAACCUAGGGCUAACCAUGACCUAGGGGCAUUUUUGGGCAAAACCUCCAACAUAAACUUUGUUCAAAAUGUUAUUCUAAACAUGAUUAACGUAUUUUGGAAGACAAUGUGCACUUAUAUGCAUUGGUCACACAUUACUAUCACCUAUAGCAAGUCACACAAGCAAUUCAAUCACAUAGUGUAUACACCAAAUGACAUGUGAUCAUGGUGUGAUGCUCAUGAGUGAUCAUGAUGAUGAUUAUGUUGAUGCAAUGCUCAUGGUUAACAUGCAAGCUAACACUAGGAGUGUUACAUCAUCGGCAGUAAUCUGGUGCUGAGGAUCCACCGAUGUGCUUUUUUCAGCUGCCUCUGAAGUCAAUACUUUGGUCUUUCCCUUAGCAUCCAACAUAUUUGUAGGGAAACGAUGUUGGUCGAUCUUCAUCGGCUUUUGAGCUUUGGAGUUAUCGAACCUAAUUCUCCCAAACUCUAUAGCCGACUGCAGCUGCUGCCUGAAAACUUUGCAUUCAUUUGUACUAUGAGAUGUUGCAUUAUGCCACUUGCAAUACUUAAUCUUCUUUAAUUCUUCUGCCGAUGGAAUCACAUGGUUAGGUGACAACUGAAUUUGCCCCUCCUGAAGCAAAAAGUCAAAUAUCCUAUCGGCUUUGGUGAUGUAAAAUGCAAACUUUUCUGGAUCUUUAUGCCCAAAAGGGCAAGACAUCGGCUUUUUAUUUUUUACCCAUUCUGCCAAGCUGAUGACUGGCUCUUCAUCAGAAUCUGAGCUCGUUGCCUCAUCGACAAAUGACACCUUUUUGUUCCAUGCCCUCUUGGGUUCAAAAGCUUUGAUAUCUUGGUCAGAAAUCCACUGCACUAAAUGGCUCAGACUUUCAAACUCUUGAGAAGCAUACUUGUCUUUAAUGUGUGGCAACAACCCUUGGAAAGCCAAAUUGGGGAGCUGCCGAUCAUCCAAAACCAGACUAUAACAUUUAUUCUUAACAUCUCGCAACCUUUGCACAAAGCUCUCAACCGAUUCGUCAUUGCUCUGCCUUAGCCUGACUAAAUCGGUAAUCUUCUUCUCAUGCACUCCAAAAAAGAAGUAUUUAUGGAACUAUUUUUCUAGAUUGGCCCAGGUGAUCACUGAGUUUGGAGGUAAUGAAAUAAACCAAGUAAAGGCCGAUCCAGACAAAGAUGAUGAGAAUAAGCGAACCCUUAACUCAUCUCUGUUAGCAGUUUCCCCAUACUGGAUGAUGAACCUAUUAACAUGCUCCAUGGUUGACGUAUCAUCCUGCCCCGAAAACUUGAUGAAAUCCGGCACCUUGUACCGAUUUGGAAGCGGAAUUAAGUCAUAUGCUGGAGGAUAUGGUGUCCGAUAAGAGUAAGUGUUGACUUUGGGUUUUAUCCCAAAUUGGUCUCUCAUCACCUCAGCUAUCUUAUCGGCCCAGUAAGCAUCAGCAUAUUGCCGAUGAGCUUGUUGUGGAUUCGGCAUCUGCUGAUAAGCUUCCACAUGUCUCUGCAGUGCACGAUCCCUACAGAACAUAGGAUUAGCCACCGCCUGUUGACCACCAACUUGGUGACCAAGAUUCAUCGGCUGGUUGAUCAACCCUUGAUUUUGAAAUCCAGGUUGCAUUGGUCCUUAUUGAAAUCCCAUAGCCUGAUGAUUUUGCUGAGGCAUCUAUGGAAAGACAAACUGCCCUGUCCAUCCAUUGUUAACAUUCAUCGGCGUAGGUCCUGCCGAUGGCUGAUAAUUGGGCACCAUCAUCGAAUUGACAUACCCUAGCUGUGUCAUAAACCUUUGCUGUGUCAGCAUUGGAUCUGCCGAUGCAUUAGGCAUCUAGAACGUUGGCAUUUGAGAAUUCCUAGCAAAAGGUCUUGUAGUAGUAGUUGUAGAAUACUUGGGAUUCUGAGUCAUCGGUGAGCCUGGGGGUGCCGAUGCCAUAGGAGCAUUGCCUGUCAUGUCAGCCACUUGAGAUGUCCCAGAACUUUUUGCCAUAAAUUCUGGGGGCAUACCAUAUCCCCACCAAUUGGGAGGAACAGAUACUGACAUUGCUGAUGCUAAUAAAUCUGUAGCAAGUUUGACUUGUCCCUCUGAUGUUGAUGGAUUAGUCGUCAUCGGUGUAGAUUGCGCAUUAGUCAUCCCUAAUGUGCUUGGAGGAGAAGUAACUUCCGUACCUGCAACGGCUGUAGUAGCCGAUGGAGCCGUAACCGAUGAUGAUCCUGGCUGAUGAUAGUCAGGGCCCACAUAAGAUGGUGGUAUCUGUCCUUCUUUGAAAGUUCUAGCCACAACAUUGAAAACUGUAUUGGACAGCACAUUAGAUUGAUUGAUUAGAGCACAAAUGAUAGCACUGUCAACCAUCUCUUGUUGUUUACUAGGAUUGGCUUCAAAAGUGAUUUGCCGAGGCAUCAACAAUGCUUCCUUUUGGAUCACCUCGCCACUCCUGUUGAUAUUGAAGGAUUUCAAGCAUAGCUGCUUGUAGUCCUCCAUAGCUUUUGCCAUAUCUUGCUUCUAUUCAUCUCUGAGAUUGGCUUCCGUCACGGGGAUGACGUUCUCCAAGUCGAAAUUAGUGUUCGACAUAAUGAUCUUGAUGUUGAAUCAUUGUCCCACUGGGCGUGCCAAAAGAUGUGUUCGUGCAAAAGUAGAUCUACAAACACAAAGGGCUAAUACCCGAUUCAACAUUAAGACGUGCCAGCCGAUUUGACCUUACAAUCGACAAAGGUGGUAACUCGAAUACUUUGGUCCCGACAACAGCGAUGCGCCCGGAUGUCACGGCCAAGAGGUAUUCACACGGAACUCGAGAAUUCACCGAGGUUAACUCGUUGUAAAAGGAAAAUAUGCAGGUUGAUGAAGUCGUCAAAAGUAGAUGCUGAAAUAGAUGUAAAAACUUGUGUUUGGUUGAUUGUGUCUAACAUUACAUCGCUACGGGGUCUCAUAUUUAUACCCUGCCCAAAAGGGUUACAAUCAGACACGACUAGGACUCGAAUUCCAAAUUGAACGGAAUCCGUACACAAAACAAACUCUAAUAACUGUGGAAAGCAUUAAGUUAUCUUCCACAACCGUUCGGUACACCACCUUGAAUCGAUCGACAAUUCCAGCGCCUUUCUUUGUGACCAUCGGCGAACCACCUUUCAUAGCCAUCGGCAACCAUCAGCACCAUUCAUCGGCAUGAAUCCCUCACCACUCCUAGACUUGGCCAUAUUCUGUCGUUUUCUCAUCGGCACCAACCCUCAUUGGCAACUCUCCUGUCAACUAGUCACCACUUUUCUGCCUGCCGAUCUACGCCUUAUUAACUCCAGAUACGCAUCCAAAGAUACGUGUCCAAAAACGGUGUCGACACUGCCAAGCUAGACCUGCUCAUGAAGAAGCUCGAUGAUAAAGCUAGAGAUAAGAAGGAAGUUAUGCACGUCUAUGACUCUCACAUGAUUUGUGAGGACUGUGGAGAUACUGGACACUCAGGCAAUCACUGCCCUGAGAUGCUUGAGGACGUGAACUACAUCAACAACAAUAACAACAACAACUACUACCACCGUCGUCAACAAAAUCAAGAUUGGAAUCAACAGAGGCCUAACUACUCAGGUAAUUAUCAAAGUAACAAUUCUUACAAUAAUAAUAAUAAUUUUCCACCUCUGAGAGAGUUAGUGUCUAAUCAAGGAAAGCUAAUGGAUAACCUAUCUAAGAAAUUGGCAUCUAAUGAUAAAAUUCUAGAAAAAAUAAAUAAUAGAAUGAAUAAUUUCUCUACUGCCAUCAAGAAUCAAAUUAGCUUUAAUAAAAUGAUUGAAUCUCAGUUAAAUCAAAUAGCUGCUGCUGUUCCAGCUACUAACCCCGGUAUACCAUCACAACCUUAAGGAUUAGAAUCUGCAAAUCUUGUAGACAUGUUUGAUACAGGUAACUACUGGAGUAACCCCGUCGCGGAAGUUACUACUGACCUUCUACCGGUCAAGAGAGGCGAUCUAGGACGCCCUGCCAUCCCGAUCUCCAUCGACAUGGUGGACUUCCCAGAAGCACUCUGCGACUUUGGCUCUAGUGUCAACAUUAUGCCAGGGUACUCUAUGAAAAAUUCUUUAUAUAUCCUUUAUUAGAAACAACCAUGUGUUUGCAGCUUGCCGAUCGGACAUUAAGUUUCCCAAAGGGAAUAUUGAAGAACCUUUGCGUCCGAGUUGGUACCUUGUACGCCCUAGCAGACUUCGCGGUGACAGAGACCGGUAAUGAUGAGAGGGCACCCGUCAUCUUAGGGAGGCCAUUCCUGAACACCUCGAGAGCUGUCAUCUACGCUAGUGCUGCCAUGAUCAGUUUUUACAUCAAGGGGAGGAAGGAGACGUUUUCCUUCAAGGACAAGACUACACAAAUCCCAGAGCAAUCCCGACAUGAACCAAGGAAGAGGACCAACAGGAGGAACAGGAACAAGCAAGUGUGGACCGAGUCAGCUAAGAUGGUCACUGCAGUUCAAGGAGGUCAAGAUCAUCGACUCAAGUCACCAUUCCUGACCAAGAAGGACGACCUAGGUAUGCCAAGCAUCCAGUGCUCCAUUAAUUGGUACAACUUCUACAAGAUGCUUUGCGACACCGGAUUGGGCGUCAACAUAAUAGCCGCAGUCACCUAUGAGCUCCUGUUUGGAACCAUAACCCUAAAACUGACAUACAUUCAGCUCCAGAUGACAGAUCAGACAUUUCGAAAGGUUGAAGGUAUAGUAACUGAUGUCCCUAUUAAAAUAGAUAAUCAUUUUGUCCAUACAGACUUUCAGGUUAUUGACAUUGGAGAAGGCGAGUAUGAUCCACCCAUCGUCCUUGGGAGACCUUUCCUCAGUACUGUUAAACCAAUCAUCUACAUUGGAACUAGAGCAUCUCAUUCUCCCCAAAAAGUUUCAAAAGAGCAAGAACGGUAUGUAUCCCCUCAAGUAGAAUUAGACUUUCACCAUUGUUGUCGCCAUCAUCACCAUACACCAUUCAUUUUGCCACACAUGCACAUCUUGAUUUGACUUAUUGACUUGUUUCUCUGGAUCCAUGGUUUGACUAUGCAAUAAAUGUCUUGUAAGUAUGUAUACUUUAUCUCCCACCUAUGAGCUCCAGAUAUCAAAAGCCUUAUUAAAGUAGGGUGAGAGAGAGAGAGCAAGGUCACUGUGCUUUAUACUACAAAUACCACAUACUUUGAGAGAGAAGGGAUAUACCAUCACUGCCUUGGUAAGGAUCCAGAAAUACCACAAAAGAGAGAUCUGAGAGAGUCAUACAAGGAAUCUCUGAGUUUUAUUUGAAAAUCUGCAAAAACUCCAGAGCUAUGGCUAAUCAAGAAUAAGAGACAUGGCGCUUGACUAGACCGUUCUAUCUUUUAACUGCUCAAGACAGAAAUGACGGUUACAAGUCCCAUGGUAAAAGGUAAAAUGAGUAAGUUUUAAAUCUUGACGGUUUACUCUAACUCAGAGAUGAGACCUUAUUUGAAAGCAUGUGUACCAUCAAAACUCAAAGGUAUUACGCAACUUCUGAUCCAUCACUGAGAUUAUCCUUGCUCAGGGACGAGCAAGAGGUAAGCUUGGGGGAGUUUGUUGACAUUCCUUAAAUAUCAAAUAUAAUCAACAAAUAAACAAAGAAAAGGAUCCAAAUGCAACCGGCACCUAGACUUAGGGUUUUAUCGGACAGAAUUCCAUGAGUUUUGGUGUUUGUCUAUUUCUGCAGGGGGUUAUCAGGAAUUAUGGAAGAAAGGCCCACACGUCGGGUUUACAUAGAGAUAUUAAUGUGCACCACAAUUAUCUAACAUCUAGAAGAGUCCAGAAGCCACGGGAACGAGCGGGAGGCCGAGCGAGCCCGGGGGCAGGGCGCCCGCCCUCCCCCCUUGGGCGCUCGCCCUGGCCUGAGAGCCAAUCAGGCUCCGCCUCGCGGAUCAUGCUCCACCGACCUAAGGGAUUAAGGAAAACCGUGCGAUUAAGGUCAGUUUGAUCUGACGGUCCAUAUUCAUUUGGAGGGACUAUAUAAGCAGACCCCCUGGCCCUUGGAGGAGAGGACCGGAGAAACCCUAAUUCAUUCGUACAUCUUUGGAGAAGAAGUCCCUGAUCAAGCACUAGAGCCACCACAUCAACUAGAUCUCUAGUUUUGCAUCUCUAGUUUAGCAUAGCUACAUAGGAUUAGAACUAGAAGGAAUCAAUCUUCGAUUGGUUUCCGGAUCUGUCAAGAGGACUCUUGGUAAUUCCUCAACUGUUCUUCAUUUGUUCAUCAUUGUUCUUCAAUAUUAUGAAUAUGACUUUAUUCUACUUCAAUAUAUUGAUUAUGACUUUGCUCUACUUGUUUAUAUUUGCAAUUAUAUUGUUCUUAAUUUAUCAUAGUUAUAUGCUUGUCGUAGUCAGAUUGGAAUUAUAUACAUGUUUAGGAUCAUAUAGCGUUUAUCCAUGUGUACAAUGGGUAAAUGAUAAGUAUUAUGUAGGCGUGGUGCCUAUGCCGUAUUUAUCUGCGAUUGUACCCUAUAUGCCGGAUCGCGGGGUAGUUCGUGGUGGUGACAGCUCCAUUGAUUCUUGUAUAGUCCCCCUCUCGUGUAUAGGGCAGGUAGAGCAACAUUAUUACAGGGGAGUGAUUGCUAUGUUUCUUAUCUUCCUUGAUAAUAUCACUAUGCAUGGGCGUAGUCCUGUCUCGCAAUGAUUGCCAAGUAUAAUUGCACUAACUAUGAUAUGCUAGACUUUAUAGUUAAGAAUAACUUAGGAAAUAUUCUUGUAGUUCAUCCUAAUUCCAUGCUAAUGACUUGCUAGAAUAUCUGUUGAGGUGCUUAUCAUUAUUAUAUGUGGCUAGUUAUGCUGAUCAGAUUAAUUAUGUUUGUCACCAGUCAUACUUUUUCUAUAUUUUAUGUGACAUUUAUCCCUGUAUGAAAGAGAUAGAUAAAUGCUCUCCAUUAUACAUGCAAUGAUGGAUACUCAAUUCCAUAUUUCAUUCCAUAAUCAACAUUGAAGAUUAGCAAUCCCUUCCCAGUGGUAAAAAUAUAAAUAACGAUACCUGGAAUACUUUCCGAUUAAAAUGCUACAUCGGUAUUAAUCUGUGCGCUUGCAGAUCUCAUUUAUUAUUCAUUCAGAAGAGCAAUUGCAUAUUUCAUUACCGCGUCUCUCAUGUCAUGCUGGGGAUGACAACUUGGCUUAAGUGGAAUGAGGGAUAGGUUUGGCAUUUUGGGCACCAUUAUCAGAACUAGAAAACUAAGUCUACUUUUGGUAAUGACGUUAAGAAUGCCCAAAAGAUGUGAACCUAACGGUAUACCUAAAGCUUUGAUUACCACUUGAUGAGAACAAGGGUGGCCCGAUCUUCCGAAAGGUUUUGAUAACUCUCGAUUUGGUGGAGACGAGACACAAUUCGAUCCGGCUUCCGAACAACACGAUCUGAAACCCUGCAAUUUUUUUUCGAUAUUUUUCUUUUAGUUACGAGCACCAAAGGAGUAACCACAGAAAAUUUGAGCUUAAACAAGUGAAACACAUGGCCUGCGGAAUUUUUUGAAGAUUGUGAAAAAUGUGAAAAAAACUUGACGAGGUGAAAACUCAAAAUUUGGAGGUGAAUUUGGAGGUUCUAUAAUUUUCAAACCCACCAAUGGAGGGGACAGACAUAUCUGAAAUUUUUUUUUGAUCAAUUUUGAUAUAUGGAACGUUGAAAUCGGAGUUCGUAUGCGAAAGUUAUGGCUAUUUUACGAACGGACUCCAAAUUAGAGGACAAAAUGGUCCGAAAGUAGGAAAAAUUCGCGGCAGUGGCUAGAAAUUGAUGGAAACGGUGGGAAAAAACACACAAACUGGACUCUAACAAGACCUAACCAGCAACAAGACCUCGACCAGGACACAAACUCAACACUGUGGACUGUCAAACUGAAAUAUACAAAGGCUAUGGCGCGGAAGGGUUGUAGGACAAUAAAACGAUAUGACACUAGACUUAUGGGACAAACACAAGAACACUCAAAAGUAAGGGUAGAUGUGAACCUAAUGGUAUACCUAAAGCUUUGAUUACCACAUGAUGAGAAUAAGGGUGAUCCGAUCUUCUGAAAGGUUCUGGUAACUCUCAAUUUGGUGGAGACGAGACACAAAUCGAUACGGCUUCCGAAUAACAUGAUCCGAAACGCUACAAAAUUUUUUUAUUUUUUUGAUAUUUUACUUUUAGUUAGGAGCACCAAAGGAGUAACCAUAGAAAAUUUGAGAAUAAACAAGUGAAAUACAUGGCCUGCGAAAUUUUCUGAAGAUUGUGAAAAAUGUGAAACAAACUUCAUGAGGUGAAAACUCAAACUUCGGAGGUGAAUUUGGAGGUUCUAAAAUUUUCAAACCCGCCAACGGAAGGGACAGACAGAUCCAAAAUUUUUUUCUGAUCGAUUUUGAUAUAUGGAAUGUUGAAAUCGGAGUUUGUAUGUGAAUGUUAUGGGUAUUUUACGAAUAGACUCCGAAUUAGAGGACAAAACGGUCUGAAAGUGGGAAAAAAUUGCGGCAGUGGCUAGAAUUUGAUGGAAACUGUGGGGAAAAACACAUGAACUGGACUCUAACAAGGCUUAACCAGCAACAAGACCUCGACGAGGACACAAACUCAACACUGCGGACUCUAAAACUAAAAUAUGCAAAGGCUAUGACGCGGAAGGGUUGUAGGACAAGAAAACAAUAUGACACAGGACUUAUGGGACGAACCAAGAACACUCGAAACUAAAGGUAGAUGUGAACCUAACGGUAUACCUAAAGCUUUGAUUUCCACAUAUGAGAACAAGGGUGACCCGAUCUUCUGAAGUUCUGGUAACUCUCGAUUUGGUGGAGACGAGACACAAAUCGAUCCGUCUUCCGAACAACACGAUCCGAAACCCUGCAAUUUUUUUUUGAUAUUUUUCUUUUAGUUAGAGCACCAAAGGAGUGACCACAGAAAAUUUGAGCUUAAACUAGUGAAAGACAUGGCCUACGAAAAUUUCUGAAAAUUAUGUAAAAUGUGAAAAAAAAACAUCACGAGGUGAAAACUCAAACUUCAGAGGUGAAUUUGGAGGUUCUAAAGUUUUCAAACUCGCCAAUGGAGGGGACAGAGAGAUCCGAAAUUUUUUUUCGAUCGAUUUUGAUAUAUUGAACGUUGAAAUCAGAGCUCGUAUGCGAAAGUUAUGGCUAUUUUACAAACGGACUCCAAAUUAGAGGACAAAAUGGUCCGAAAGUGGAAAAAAUUUGCGGCGGUGGCUAGAAAUUGAUGGAAACGGUGGGGGAAAAUACAUGAACUGGACUCUAAUAAGACCUAACCAGCAAUAAGACCUCGACGAGGACACAAACUCAACACUGCGGACUCUGAAACUGAAAUAUGCAAAGGCUAUGACGUGGAAGGGUUGUAGGACAAGAAAACGAUAUGACACUGCACUUAUGGGACGAACACAAGAACACUCAAAACUAAGGGUAGAUGUGAACCUAAUGGUAUACCUAAAGCUUUGAUUCCCACAUGAUGAGAACAACGGUGACCCGAUCUUCUAAAAGGUUCUGGUAACUCUCGAUUUGGUGGAGACGAGACACGAAUCGAUCCGGCUUCCGAACAACACGAUCCGAAACCCUGCAAUUUUUUUUAUUUUUUUGAUAUUUUUCUUUUAGUUAGAGCACCAAAGGAGUAACCACAGAAAAUUUGAGCUUAAACCAGUGAAAGACAUGGCCUACGAAAAUUUCUGAAAAUUGUGAAAAAUGUGAAAAAAACAUCACGAGGUGAAAACUCAAACUUCAGUUGUGAAUUUGGAGGUGCUAAAAUUUUCAAACCAGCCAAGGGAGGGGAGACAGAUCCGAAAUUUUUUUCUGAUCGAUUUUGAAAUAUGGAACAUUGAAAUCGGAGCUCGUAUGCGAAAGUUAUGGCUAUUUUACGAACGGACUCCAAAUUCGAGGACAAAACGGUGCGAAAGUGGGCAAAAUUUACGGUGGUGGCUAGAAAUUGAUGGAAACGGUGGGGGAAAAUAUAUGAACUGGACUCUAACAAGACCUAACCAGCAACAAGACCUCGACGAGGACACAAACUCAACACUGCGGACUCUAAAACUGAAAUAUGCAAAGGCUAUGGCGUGGAAGGGUUGUAGGACAGAAAAACGAUAUGACACUGGACUUAUGGGACGAACACAAGAACACUCGAAACUAAGGGUAGAUUUGAACCUAAUGGUAUAUCUAAAUCUUUGAUUUCCACAUGAUGAGAACAAGGGUGACCCAAUCUUCUGAAAGGUUCUGGUAACUCUCGAUUUGGUGGAGACGAGACACAAAUCGAUCCGGGUUCCGAACAACACGAUCCGAAACCCUACAAUUUUUUUUAUUUUUUUGAUAUUUUUCUUUUAGUUAGAGCACCAAUGGAGUAACCACAGAAAAUUUGAGCUUAAACCAGUGAAAAACAUGGCCUACGAAAAUUUCUGAAAAUUGUGAAAAAUGUGAAAAAAACAUCACGAGGUGAAAACUCAAACUUCGGAGGUGAAUUUGGAGGUUCUAACUUUUCAAACCUACCAAUGGAGUGACAAACAGAUCCAAAAUUUUUUUCUGAUCGAUUUUGAUAUAUGGAACGUUGUAAAUGGAGCUCGUAUGUGAAAGUUAUGGCUAUUUUACGAACGGACUCCAAGUUAGAGGACAAAACGGUCCGAAAGUGGGAAAAAUUUGCGGUGGUGGCUAGAAAUUGAUGGAAACGGUGGGGGAAAAUACAUGAACUGGACUCUAACAAGACCUAACCAGCAACAAGACCUCGACAAGGACACAAACUCAACACUGCGGACUCUGAAACUGAAAUAUGCAAAGGCUAUGGCGCGGAAGGGUUGUAGGACAGGAAAACCAUAUGACACUGGACUUAUGGGACGAACACAAGAACACUCGAAACUAAGGGUAGAUUUGAACCUAACGGUAUACCUAAAGCUUUGAUUACCACAUGAUGAGAACAAGGGUGACCCGAUCUUCUGAAAGGUUCUCGUAACUCUCGAUUUGGUGGAGACGAGACACAAUUUAAUCCGGCUUUCGAACAACACGAUCCAAAACCCUGCAAAUUUUUUUAUUUUUUUGAUAUUUUUCUUAUAGUUAGGAGCACCAAAGGAGUAACCACACAAUAUUUGAGCUUAAACCAGUGAAAUUUUCUCAAAGUUGUGAAAAUGUGAAAAAAAACUUCAUGAGGUGAAAACUCAAAUUUCGGAGGUGAAUUUGGAGGUUCCAAAAUUUUCAAACCUGCCAAUGGAGUGGACAGACAGAUCCGAAAUUUUUUUCUGAUCAAUUUUGAUAUAUGGAACGUUGAAAUCGGAGCUCGUAUGCGAAAGUUAUGGCUAUUUUACAAACGGACUCCAAAUUAGAGGACAAAAUGGUCGAAAAGUGGGAAAAAUUUGCGACGGUGGCUAGAUAUUGAUGGAAACGGUGCUGGAAAACACACGAACUGGACUCUAACAAGACCUAACAAGCAACAAGACCUCGACGAGGACACAAACUCAACACUGCGGACUCUGAAACUGAAAUAUGCAAAGGCUAUGACACGGAAGGGUUGUAGGACAAGAAAACGAUAUGACACUGCACUUAUUGGACGAACACAAGAACACUUGAAACUAAGGGCAGAUGUGAACCUAAUGGUAUACCUAAAGCUUUUAUUUCCACAUGAUGAGAACAAGGGUGACCCGAUCUUCUGAAAGGUUCUGGUAACUCUCGAUUUGGUGGAGACAAGACAUAAAUCGAUCCGGCUUCCGAACAACACGAUCCGAAAACCGGUAAUUUUUUUAUUUUUUGAUAUUUUCUUUUAGUUAGAGCACCAGAGGAGUAACCACAGAAAAUUUGAGCUUAAACUAGUGAAAGACAUGGCCUACGAAAAUUUCUGAAAAUUGUGAAAAAUGUGAAAAAAACAUCACGAGGUGAAAACUCAAACUUCAGAGGUGAAUUUGGAGGUUCUAAAAUUUUCAAACUCGCCAAUGGAGGGGACAGACAGAUCUCAAAAUUUUUUCUGAUCAAUUUUGAUAUAUGGAACGUUGAAAUCGGAGUUCGUAUGCGAAAGUUAUGGCUAUUUUACGAACGGACUCCAAAUUAGAGGGCAAAAUGGUCCGAAAGUAGGAAAAAUUCGCGGCGGUGGCUAGAAAUUGAUGGAAACGGUGGGGAAAAACACACAAACUGGACUCUAACAAGACCUAACCAGCAACAAGACCUCGACCAGGACACAAACUCAACACUGUGUACUGUGAAACUGAAAUAUGCAAAGGCUAUGGCGCGGAAGGGUUGUAGGACAAGAAAACGAUAUGACACUGGACUUAUGGGACAGACACAAGAACACUGAAAAGUAAGGGUAGAUGUGAACCUAAUGGUAUACCUAAAGCUUUGAUUACUAUAUGAUGAGAAUAAGGGUGACCCGAUCUUCUAAAAGGUUCUGGUAACUCUCGAUUUGGUUAAGAUGAGACACAAAUCGAUACGGCUUCCGAAUAACAUGAUCCGAAACGCUGCAAAAUUUUUUUUAUUUUUUUGAUAUUUUACUUUUAGUUAGGAGCACCAAAGGAGUAACCAUAGAAAAUUUGAGCAUAAACAAAUCAAACACAUGGCCUGCGGAAUUUUCUGAAGACUGUGAAAAAUGUGAAAAAAACUUCAUGAGGUAAAAACUCAAACUUCGGAGGUGAAUUUGGAGGUUCUAAAAUUUUUAAACUCGCCAAUGGACGGGACAGACAGAUCCAAGAAUUUUUUCUAAUCGAUUUUGAUAUAUGGAACGUUGAAAUCAGAGUUUGUAUGCGAAAGUUAUGUCUAUUUUACGAACAGACUCCAAAUUAGAGGACAAAACGGUCCGAAAGUGGGAAAAAUUUGCGGUGGUGGCUAGAAAUUGAUGGAAACGGUGGGGAAAAAUACAUGAACUGAACUCUAACAAGACCUACCCUACAAUAACACCUCGACGAGGACACAAACUCAACACUGCGGACUCUGAAACUGAAAUAUGCAAAGGCUAUGACGCGGAAGGGUUGUAGGACAAGAAAACGAUAUGACACUGGACUUAUGGGACGAACACAAGAACACUCGAAACUAAUGGUAGAUGUGAACCUAAUGGUAUACCUAAAGCUUUGAUUAUCACUUGAUGGGAACAAGGGUGGCCCGAUCUUCCAAAAUGUUCUGGUAACUCUCGAUUUGGUGGAGACGAGACACAAAUCGAUCCGGCUUUCGAAUAACAUGAUCCAAAACCCUGCGUUUUUUAUUUUUUUGAUAUUUUUCUUUUAGUCAGGAGCACCAAAGGAGUAACCAUAGAAAAUGAGCUUAAACAAGUAAAAGACAUGGCCUGCGGACUUUUCUGAAGAUUGUGAAAAAUGUGAAAAAACAUCACGAGGUGAAAACUCAAACUUCAGAAGUGAAUUUGGAGGUACUAAAAUUUUCAAACCCGCCAAUGGAGGGGACAGACAGAUCCAAAAAAUUUUUCUGAUCGAUUUUGAUGUAUGGAAUGUUGAAAUCGGAGUUUGUAUGCGAAAGUUAUGGCUAUUUUACAAACGGACUCCGAAUUAGAGGACAAAACGGCGGUGCCUAGAAAUUGAUGGAAACGGUGGGGAAAAAGACAUGAACUGGACUCUAACAAGACUUAACCAGCAAGAAGACCUCGACCAGGACACAAACUCAACACUGCGGACUCUAAAACUGAAUUAUGCAAAGGCUAUGGCGCGGAAGGGUUGUAGGACAAGAAAAUGAUAUAGCACUGGACUUAUAGGGACAAACACGAGAACACUCGAAACUAAGGGUAGAUGUGAACCUAAUGGUAUACCUAAAGCUUUGAUUUCCACAUGAUGAGAACAAGGGUGACCCGAUCUUCUGAAAGGUUCUGGUAACUCUCGAUUUGGUGGAGACGAGACACAAAUCGAUCCGGCUUCCGAACAACACGAUCCGAAACCCUGCAAUUGUUUUAUUUUUUUUGAUAUUUUUCUUUUAGUUAGAGCACCAAAGGAGUAACCACAGAAAAUUUGAGCUUAAACCAGUGAAAGACAAGGUCUACGAAAAUUUCUGAAAAUUGUGAAAAAUGUGAAAAAAACAUCAUGAGGUGAAAACUCAAACUUCAGAGGUGAAUUUGGAGGUCCUAAAAUUUUCAAACCAGCCAAUGGAGGGGACAGACAGAUCUGAAAUUUUUUUCUGAUCGAUUUUGAUAUAUGGAACAUUGAAAUCGGAGCUCGUAUUCGAAUGAUAUGGCUAUUUUACGAACGGACUCCAAAUUAGAUGACAAAACGGUCCGAAAGUGGGAAAAAUUUGCGGUGGUGGCUAGAAAUUGAUGAAAACGGUGGGGGAAAAUACAUGAACUGGACUCUAACAAGACCUAACCAGCAACAAGACCUCGACGAGGACACAAACUCAAAACUGCGGACACUAAAACUGAAAUAUGCAAAGGCUAUGACGCGGAAGGGUUGUAGGACAAGAAAACGAUAUGACACUGGACUUAUGGGACAAACCAAGAACACUCAAAACUAAGGGUAGAUGUGAACCUAACGGUAUACCGAAAGUUUUGAUUUCCACAUAUGAGAACAAGGGUGACCCGAUCUUCUGAAGUUCUGGUAACUCUCGAUUUGGUGGAGACGAGACACAAAUCGAUCCGGCUUCCGAACAACACGAUCCGAAAACCUGUAAUUUUUUUUUGAUAUUUUUCUUUUAGUUAGAGCACCAAAGGAGUGACCACAGAAAAUUUGAGCUUAAACUAGUGAAAGACAUGGCCUACGAAAAUUUCUAAAAAUUGUGAAGAAUGUGAAAAAAAAACAUCACGAGGUGAAAACUCAAACUUCAGAGGUGAAUUUGGAGGUUCUAAGCUUUUCAAACUUGCCAAUGGAGGGGACAGGGAGAUCUGAAAUUUUUUUCUGAUCGAUUUCGAUAUAUGGAACAUUGAAAUCAGAGCUCGUAUGUGACAGUUAUGGCUAUUUUACGAACGGACUCCAAAUUAGAGGACAAAAUUGUUCGAAAGUGGGAAAAAUUUGCGGCGGUGGCUAGAAAUUAAUGGAAACGGUGGGGGAAAAUACAUGAACUGGACUCUAACAAGACCUAACCAGCAAUAAGACCUCGACGAGGACACAAACUCAACACUGCGGACUCUGAAACUGAAAUAUGCACAGGCCAUGACGUGGAAGGGUUGUAGGACAAGAAAACGAUAUGACACUACACUUAUGGGACGAACACAAGAACACUCGAAACUAAGGGUAGAUGUGAACCUAAUGGUAUCCCUAAAGCUUUGAUUUCCACAUGAUGAGAACAAGGGUGACCCGAUCUUCUGAAAGGUUCUGGUAACUCUCGAUUUGGUGGAGACGAGACACAAAUCGAUCCGGCUUCCGAACAACACGAUCCGAAAACCUGUAAUUUUUUUUGAUAUUUUUCUUUUAGUUAGAGCACCAAAGGAGUGACCACAGAAAAUUUGAGCUUAAACUAGUGAAAGACAUGGCCUACGAAAAUUUCUGAAAAUUGUGAAGAAUGUGAAAAAAAAACAUCACGAGGUGAAAACUGAAACUUCAGAAGUGAAUUUGGAGGUUCUAAGGUUUUCAAACUUGCCAAUGGAGGGGACAGGGAGAUCUGAAAUUUUUUUCUGAUCGAUUUCGAUAUAUGGAACAUUGAAAUCAGAGCUCGUAUGUGACAGUUAUGGCUAUUUUACGAACGGACUCCAAAUUAGAGGACAAAAUUGUCCGAAAGUGGGAAAAAUUUGCGGCGGUGGCUAGAAAUUGAUGGAAACGGUGGGGGAAAAUACAUGAACUGUUCUCUAACAAGACCUAACCAGCAAUAAGACCUCGACGAGGACACGAACUCAACACUGCGGACUCUGAAACUGAAAUAUGCAAAGGCUAUGACACGGAAGCGUUGUAGGACAAGAAAACGAUAUGACACUGCACUUAUGGGACGAACACAAGAACACUCAAAACUAAGGGUAGAUGUGAACAUAAUGGUAUACCUAAAGCUUUGAUUUCCACAAGAUAAGAACAAGGGUGACCGGAUCUUCUGAAAGGUUCUGGUAACUCUCGAUUUGGUGGAGACGAGACACAAAUCCAUCCGGCUUCCGAACAACAUGAUCCGAAACCGUGCAAUUUUUUUUAUUUUUUUGAUAUUUUUCUUUUAGUUAGAGCACCAAACGAGUAACCAUAGAAAAUUUGAGCUUAAACCAGUGAAAGACAUGGCCUACGAAAAUUUCUGAAAAUUGUGAAAAAUGUGAAAAAAACAUCACGAGGUGAAAACUCAAACUUCAGAGGUGAAUUUGGAUGUUCUAAAAUUUCCAAUCCCGCCAAUGGAGGAAACAGACAGAUCCGAAAUUUUUUUCUGAUCGAUUUUGAUAUAUGGAACGUUGAAAUCGGAGCUCGUAUGCGAAAGUUAUGACUAUUUUCCGAACGGACUCCAAAUUAGAGGACAAAACGGUCCGAAAGUGGGAAAAAUUUGCGGCGGUGGCUUGAAAUUUAUGGAAACGGUGGGGGAAAAUACAUGAAUUGGACUCUAACAAGACCUAACCAGCAACAAGACAUCGACAAGGACACAAACUCAACACUGCAGACUCUGAAACUUAAAUAUGCAAAGGCUAUGGCGCGGAAGGGUUGUAGGACAAGAAAACGAUAUGACACUGGACUUAUGGGACGAACACAAGAACACUCGAAACUAAGUGUAGAUUUAAACCUAAUGGUAUACCUAAAGCUUUGAUUACCACAUGAUGAGAACAAGGGUGACCCGAUCUUCUAAAAGGUUCUGGUAACUCAAGAUUUGGUGCAGACGAGACACAAAUUGAUCCGGCUUCCGAACAACAUGAUCCGAAAUCCUGCAAUUUCUUUUAGUUAGGAGCACCCAAGGAGUAACCAUAGAAAUUUUGAGCUUAAACCAGUGAAAGACAUGGCCUACGAAAAUUUCUGAAAAUUGUGAAAAAUGUGAAAAAAACUUCACGAGGUGAAAACUCAAACUUCGGACGUGAAUUUGGAGUUUUCUAAAAUUUUCAAACCCGCCAAUAGAAGGGACACACAGAUCCAAAAUUUUUUUUAAUCGAUUUUGAUAUAUGAAACGUUGAAAUUGAAGUUUUUAUGCAAAAGUUAUGGCUAUUUUAUUAAAGGACUCCGAAUUAGAGGACAAAACGAUCCGAAAGUGGAAAAAAUUUACGGCAGGUGCUAGAAAUUGAUGGAUACGGUGGGGAAAAACACACAAACUGGACUCUAACAAGACCUAACCAGCAACAAAACCUCGACGAGGACACAAACUCAACACUGCGGACUCUGAAACUGAAAUAUGCAAAGGCUAUGGCGCAGAAGGGUUGUAGGACAGGAAAACGAUAUGGCACUGGACUUAUGGGACGAAUACAAGAACACUCGAAACUAAGGGUAGAUGUGAACCUAAUGGUAUACCUAAAUCUUUGAUUACCACUUGAUGAGAACAAGGCUGGCCUGAUCCUCCGAAAGGUUCUGGUAACUCUGGUGGAGACGAGACACAAAUCGAUCCGGCUUUCGAACAACAUGAUCCAAAACCCUACAAUUUUUUUAUUUUUUUGAUAUUUUUCAUUUAGUUAGGAGCACCGAAGGAGUAACCAUAAAAAAUUUGUGCUUAAACAAGUGAAAGACAUGGCCUGCGGACUUUUCUGAAGAUUGUGAAAAAUGUGAAAAGAACAUCGCGAGGUGAAAACUCAAAUUUCAGAGGUGAAUUUGGAGGUACUAAAAUUUUCAAACCUACCAAUGGAGGGGACGGACAGAUCCAAUUUUUUUUUCUGAUCGAUUUUGAUGUAUGGAACGUUGAAAUUGGAGUUCGUAUGCGAAAGUUAUGGCUAUUUUACGAACGCACUCUGAAUUAGAGGAUAAAACGGCGGUGGCUAGAAAUUGAUGGAAACGGUGGGGAAAAAGACAUGAACUGGACUCUAACAAGACCUAACCAACAACAAGACCUCAACCAGGACACAAACUCAACACUGUGGUCUCUAAAACUGAAAUAUGCAAAGGAUAUGGCGCGAAAGGGUUGUAGGACAAGAAAAUGAUAUCGCACUGGACUUAUAGGGACAAACACAAGAACACUCGAAACUAAGGGUAGAUGUGAACCUAACGGUAUACCUAAAGCUUUGAUUACGACUUGAUGAGAACAAGGGUGGCCCGAUCUUCCGAAAGGUUCUAGUAACUCUUGAUUUGGUGGAGACGAGACACAAAUCGAUCCGGCUUCCAAACAACACGAUGCGAAACCCUGCAAUUUUUUUUAUUUUUUUGAUAUUUGUCUUUUAGUUAGAGCACCAAAGGAGUAACCACAGAAAAUUUGAGCUUAAACAAGUAAAAGACAUGGCCUGCUGAAUUUUCUGAAGAUUGUGAAAAAUGUAAAAAUAACUUCAUGAGGUAAAAACUCAAACUUCGGAGGUGAAUUUGGAGGUUCUAAAUUUUUCAAACCUUCCAAUGGAGGGGACAGACAUAUCCAAAAAUUUUUUCUGAUCAAUUCUGAUAUAUGAAACGUUAAAAUCGGAGUUCGUAUGCGAAAGUUAUGGCUAUUUUACGAACGGACUCCGAAUUAGAGGACAAAACGAUCCGAAAGUGGGAACAAUUUGCGGCGGUGGCUAGAAAUUGAUGGAAACAGUGGGCAAAAACAAAUGAACUGGACUCUAACAAGACCUAACCAACAACAAGACCUCGACCAGGACACAAACUCAACACUGCGGACUCUGAAACUAAAAUAUGCAAAGGCUAUGGCGCGGAAGGGUUGUAGGACAGAAAAACGAUAUGGCACUAGACUUAUGGGACAAACACAAGAACACUCGAAACUAAGGGUAGAUGUGAGCCUAAUGGUAUACCUAAAGCUUUGAUUACCACUUGAUGAGAACAAAGGUGGCCCGAUCUUCUGAAAGGUUGUGGUAACUCUCGAUUUGGUGGAGACGAGACACAAAUCGAUCAGCUUCCGAACAACACGAUCCGAAACCCUGCAAUUGUUUUUCUAUUUUUUUUGAUAUUUUUCUUUUAGUUAGGAGCACAAAAGGAGUAACCACAGAAAAUUUGAGCUUAAACAAGUGAAAGACAUGGCCUGCGGAAUUUUCUGAAGAUUGAGAAAAAUGUGAAAAAAACUUCACGUGGUGAAAACUCAAACUUCGGAGGUGAAUUAUGAGAUUCUAAAGGUUUCAAAUCCACCAAUGGAGGGGACAGACAGAUACAAAAAAUUUUCUGAUCAAUUUUGAUAUAUGGAACGUUGAAAUCGGAGUUCGUAUGCGAAAGUUAUGGCUAUUUUUCAAACGGACUCCGAAUUAGAGGACAAAACGGUCCGAAAGUGGGAAAAAUUUGCGGCGGUGGCUAGAAAUUGAUGGAAAUAGUGGGGAAAAACAUAUGAACUGGACUUGAUAAAGACCUAACGAGCAACAAGACCUCGACCAGGACACAAACUCAACACUGUGGACUCUCAAACUGAAAUAUGCAAAGGCUAUGGCGUGUAAGGGUUGUAGGACAGGAAAAUGAUAUGGCACUGGACUUAUGGGACGAACCCAAGAACACUCGAAACUAAGGGUAGAUAUCAACCUAACGGUACACCUAAAGCUUUGAUUACCACUUGAUGAGAACAAGGGCGGCCCGAUCUUCCGAAAGGUUCUGGUAACUCUCGAUUUGGUGGAGACGAGACACAAAUCGAUCCGGCUUCCGAACAACACGAUCUGAAAGCCUACAAUUUUUUUUAUUUUUUUGAUAUUUUUCUUUGAGUUCGGAGCACCAAAGGAGCAACCACAGAAAAUUUGAGCUUAAACAUGUGAAAGACAUGGCCUGUGGAAUUUUCUGAAGAUUGUGGAAAAUGUGAAAAAACUUCGCGAGGUGAAAACUCAGACUUCGGAGGUGAAUUUGGAGGUUUUAAAGUUUUCAAACCCCCCAAUGGAGGGGACACACAGAUCCAAAAAAUUUUUCUAAUCGAUUUUGAUAUAUGGAACAUUGAAAUCGGAGUUCGUAUGCGAAAGUUAUGGUUAUUUUACGAACGGACUCCGAAUUAGAGGACAAAACGGUCCGAAAGUGAGAAUAAUUUGCGGUGGUGGCUAGAAAUUGAUGGAAACAGUGGGGAAAAACAUAUGAACUAGACUUUAACAAGACCUAACCAGCAACAAGACCUCGACCAGGAGACAAACUCAACACUUCGGACUCUGAAACUGUAAUAUGCGAAGGCUAUAGCGUGGAAGGGUUGUAGGACAGAAAAAUGAUAUGGCACUGGACUUAUGGGACGAAUACAAGAACACUCGAAACUAAAGGUAGUUAUAAACCUAAAGGUAUACCUAAAGCUUUGAUUACCACUUGAUUUGAACAAGGGUGGCCCGAUCUUCCGAAAGGUUCCGGUAACUAUCGAUUUUGAGGAGACGAGACACAAAUCGAUCCGGCUUCCGAACAACACGAUCCGAAACUCAGCAAAUUCUUUUUAUUUUUUUGUUAUUUUUCUUUCAGUUAGGAGCACCAAAGGAGUAACCACAAAAAAUUUAAGCUUAAACAAGUGAAAUACAUGGCCUGUGGAAUUUUCUGAAGUUUCUGAAAAAUGAGAAAAAAAACUACACGAUGUGAAAACUCAAAUUUUGGAGGUGAAUUUGGAGGUUCUAAAAUUUUCAAACCCGCCAAUGGAGGGGAUAGAUAGAUCCAAAAAAUUUUUUUGAUCGAUUUUGAUAUAUGGAACACUGAAUUCGGAGUUCGUAUGCGAAAGUUAUGGCUAUUUUACGAUCGGACUCUGAAUUAUAGGACAAAACGGUCCGAAAGUAGAAAAAAUUUGCGGCGGUGGCUAGAAAUUGAUGGAAACGGUAGAGAAAAACACACGAACUGGACUCUAUCAAGACGUAACCAGCAAAAAGACCUCGACCAUGACACAAACUCAACACUGCGGACUCUGAAACUGAAAUAUGCAAAGGCUAUGACAUAGAAGGGUUGUAGGACAGGAAAAUAAUAUGGCACUGGACUUAUGGGACGAACACAAGAACACUCAAAACUAAGGGUAGAUAUGAACCUAACGGUACACCUAAAGCUUUGAUUACUGUUGACGGUCCUUAAUGCUCACAUUUAACCAUCAACUAAUCAUAGAAAAGGAUCCAAAUGCAACCAACACCUAGACUUAAGGUUUUAUCUGACAGAAAUUCCACGAGUUUUGGUGUUUGUCUGUUUCUGCAGGGGGUUAUCAGGAAAUACGAAAGGAAGGCCCACACGUCGGGUUUACAUAGAGAUAUUAACGUGCCGCGCAAUUUUCUAUCAUCUAGAAGACUCCAGAAGCCACGGGACCGAACGGGAGACGUAACGGAGCCGGGCACUGGGCGCCCCCCCUCCCUUACUGGGCGCCCGCCCUCUCCCCUGGACCAAUCAGGGUGAAGUUCGGGGAUCGUGCUCCACCGACCUAAUACUUCAAGGAAAACCACACGAUCAAUGUCGGUUUGAUCCGACGGCCCAGAUUCACUUGAAGGGACUAUAAAACCAGACCCCCCUGGCCCCUGGAGAUCAUACCUCUUCUACAGAAUCAAAGCUAGGGUUUCAAUUCUUCAUCCAAGUAGAGAGGAUCCCUCUAGUUCUUCUAGUUCUACCUCUAGUUCAUCUAGAUCUAGUUCUAGUUCAUCUAGUUCUAGUUCUAGUUCCUCUAGUUCUAGUUCUAGUUAGUUCUAGUUGUAAUCUAGAAAAUAGGGAGAGAGAAGAGGAGAGCGGAGGAGGAGCCGGAUCUGUCGGAUCUUCCUCAACAUUGUACUUUUGCAGCAUCUGGUUCGUUCUUCAUCGUUCUCCAGGUUCUUAAAUUCAUAAUUCCUGAGUUCUUUAAUUACUUUUAUUUACAUUCAAGUUAUUUAUUGGAUUCCCGCUUGCAUCAAGUGCUCUAGUCUUUAUAACGCUAGAGUAGUAAUUAAUAGAUUAGACGUGGUGUUUAGUCUUGCGAUUACCUGGAAUUGCACCCAAUCCCACGGAUUGUUGUGGUAGCCUUAGGGUAGUGACAGCCCUAACGGUCGAUGUAUUCCACCUCGUUCGGAUCGGUGUUUGUAGGACCGUAGUCGGAGCUUCCUAGCCCCCUUCUCAUCUCUUUCUCUGGUUAGUGUUCUGAUGUCCCGAAAUAGAUAAUCUUGAAGUAAUUCUUGAUUCUUAGAUCAACUAGAGAACUCUCAGGAAACUUCCUCUCUUCCCAACAAAAAAUAAUUAUAUAGUUAUCCUUGGGCGAUCUUGAUUCUUAAUUAGUACACUCACGUUCCCUGUGGAAAAUCGAUACUCUGGAAUACUCCCGGGUGAAGGCUACAUCGGUAUCCGUGCGCUUGCGGAUUUUUCUGUUUGCGUUUAAAAUACCCAACAAGCUUUCUGGCGCCGUUGCCGGGGAACGGUAGGUGUGCUAGUUUCGAACCAAGUCGUCCGUGUAUCCUUUUUCUUUUCCUUUUUUAUCACACUCACCUUACUAUUUUCACCAUACCACAUGGAUUUCACUCUAAGCAUUAAUGAGCAUGGAAUUUAUUUCAUAGCCACUUCAUUUACUCCAUGCUCAUAUGCAACAUCUUCACAAUCCAUUGGUCUCUCCAACAUCACCACAUUCGAGAUCUCCAACCCCCUCUUACUUUCUAUUCAUAAAAACUUUAAAAGGGCGGUUGUCGAUGCAUAUGUCUAUAUUAAAUAUUGCAGAUCUCGUUGAGUUGAUCUUGAUAUAGGUCAGCGUUGGAGGGGAAACCACUCACCGACAUAAAUUGAUGGUUUCCCAAGGACAAGCUUAGCGUCCUAAAAUAAGCACUGAUCAGAUCGUAACAUAAGCUUUUAAUUAUUUGCAACACUACCUUGUGUAUUGAGCAUAUAAGGAUAAUUGUAAAAAUAUCCCUUCGGGUAUUCUUGUCACUAACCUUUGCAGGAUUGGAGCAAGAAGAUCGGAUGAAUGACAAGCACAAGGUAUGUCCAACCAAUCAUCAUACAACAUUGAAUUAAAUUCAUCCAAACUUGAAUUUUGCAAAAUUCUAGCUUGGGGGAGUACUUUACAUAAAAACAUCCUUUGCCAUGUUGCUAUGUUGGUUGUCCCUACCUUUGAGACAUGCUCAAUUGGUUAAAUACUAAUCACACUACUUCAUCUCCACUUGAGUAGAUCUCUAUAAAUGCUCUCAUGAUACCUUUAUUUGCUUUAGUAUAUGUCUAGGUUUGGAGUAGUUUCAUAUAUCUCUUAAUUAAGCAUGGUGCUUAGCUAGGAAUGAUGAUCUUACUUCCAAGGGAUUUUAAAUUAAGCAUGGUGCUUAGGUUAAAAUGCCCUCCUGAAUCAAAUUAGACAUGGUGUCUAGGUUGAUUUUUGAGCUGAUAGUAUGCUAUAGUAGAUAUGGGAUAUUUUGUUGGAUUAACCCCUGCAGGAAAACUUUCAAUAUCGACCUGGGAAGUCCUGAGAUAAACUCACAUUGGAGACAAAGAGAGAGACACAUAAAGUUUAACAAUUUACACAAGGAAGGCAUAGCUCACAAGAGAUGAUUCAUGGAGGGUGCCACAAACACGAUGCACAACCGCUAAGAAAGGAAAGCUUCCACAAGGUGAUACUGUACCAUCACUCUUCAAGUAAGGUAACAUCUUAAGGUACUUGACUAUCACUUCUAUAAGCUUUUCCUUGGUUCUGGCAUUCACAUGAAUAAAAGAGACAAACAUGUAUGAUUUACAACUUUAGAUUAAUCAACCCAAUCGAUUCAACAUGUUUAGUCUUUCUACCUUCGUGAUCCCACACUCCUAAUCAUAUAAGCUAAAACGUUGCACAUUCAAUCUUUGGAAGAUAUAAACAAAACAUAAGUAUACAUAGAUUAUCUUUCCAUUAGGUUGAGCGAUGUGAUCUGACAAAUGUUUUAAAUAUUACACUCAUGAUAUUAUUAUCCAUCAACUUGGUCUUGCUCAUUAUGCUUAAGGAUAGAGAAGAAUAAAUACACUUUUGGUUCUGUUGGUGUUUUCCACCAACAGGGCCCAUGCACUUGAUCUCUGCCUUGUCUCUAUGAGCAGGUACACUUUAAGCAAAACAUGGAAGAGUUUUACAACUCCCAGACUCCACCAAGUGAAGAACCUAGAUCUACGAGCACAAACACACUGGAGAGACUGGACACUCAGGCAAUCACUGCCCUAAGAUGCUUGAGGACGUAACUACUGGAGUAACCCAUGGAAGUAAUUACUGACCUUCUGCAGGUCAAGAGAGACAAUCCAGGACGCCCCGUCAUCCCGAUCUCCAUCAGCUUGCAGAUCAGACACUAAGUUUCCCAAAGGGAAUAUUGAAGAACCUCUGCGUCCGAGUUGGUACCUUGUACGCCCCAGCAGACUUCGUGGUGAUAGAGACUGGUACUGAUGAGAGGGCACCCAUCCUAGGGAGGCCAUUCCUGAACACCUCAGGAGCUGUCAUCUACGCUAGUGCUGCCAAGAUCAAUUUCUACAUCAAGGGGAGGAAGGAGACGUUUUCCUUCAAGAACAAGACUACACAAAUCUCAGAGCAAUCCCGACAUGAACCAAGGAAGAGGAUCAACAGGGGGAGCAGGAACAAGCAAAUGUGGACUGAGUCAGCUAAGAUGGUCACUGCAGCUCAACGAGGUCAAGAUCGUCGACUUAAGUCACCGUUCCUGACCAAAAAGGAUGCCGCAAUCACUUAACAGCUCCUCUAUGGAACCAUGUCCCUACAACCGACAUACAUUCAGCUCCAGAUGGCAGAUCAGACAUUCCGUAAGGUUAUUGUCAUGGGAGAAGACGAGUACAAUCCACCCGUCAUCCUUAGAAGACCGUUCCUCAGCACCGUUAAAGCAAUCAUCUACAUUGGAACCGGAGAAGUCCACAUGAACUUCCCCUCUGAGAAGGUACGUCGCUGUUUUACUGACCCUAACUAUAUAGUUGAAGAUUCUAAGCAGGUCAGGACAAGAAGAAGACGACGCAACCAUAACCAGAGGAGGAAAAUCAUAAAGGACGGAUGGGCAGAGUACGAAGGAGAAGUGCACCAAGGCAGGUGUGGAGAAAGAAGAUAGUUAUACAUGAAGAGUAUGCGCCGCCGGAACCACCGACUACGCCAUCCAGCGAAUCCCAGGACGAUUGAGAAAACGGAGAGUCCCGUUCGGAGGACUUAAAAACACCGAACGCCAUGCCAAGAGGUAAACUUGGUAGUUAUCUUUUUCCUUUCAAUUAUUUUAAAAAUAGUUUGCUUAGUUAAUGAGGUUUAUAUCAUCUUAAAAAGAAAAUAAAAAUGUUAAAAAUAGUAAGCCCCAUGUGAGUAUGCUCAUGGCAUAAAACCCAUAAGUACAUUCACUGUGGUGGCAUAAAAAUGAAAUAAAUAUAUUCCUGUCCUAUAAAAAUGAAAAUAUAAAAAUAGAUUUAUGAUCCCACUAAAAAGUGUAAUAUUUAUUGAGGAGACUCAACAUGAUAAAGGCUAGAUAUUUAUGCUAACACUUAACUAGUUCCACAAGCUUUGUUGUCUAUUUGAGCUCCACAGAAUUCAAGGAUCAAAGAAGACGGAGGACAUCCUAGUCGCCGUCAGGGUGCUGCUGACAUUAAAAUAUACCUUUGCCACCUGCUAGCUACAUUAGAAGAAAUUACAUCAAUAUCCAGCUUGGGGGAGAGCACCCCCAUUUAUCCAGCUAAGUGUUCUACUCACGUUUAUAUUUUACUCAAAUAAUAAAAAGAUGCAUGAUCAUAAAAACCCAAAUAAAGUUUUUGUGCUUAUAUAUAUCCUUGCUUAGUUUGCUAAAUAAAUAAAUAAAUAAAGUUUGCUAUGAACCCUCAUGAUAAGCUCUCACAUGGAAAUGAUGAAUAGUUGCUCUGCUAUGACUAGUUCUCAAAAUUGAAAUCUCUCUCAAGUUUAGGCCUAACUGUUAUUAAUUAAGAUUUGCUCUAAACCUGAACUUGUGGGAAGAGUACUUGAUCUGAAGUCUAAGUCGUUAACGGAUAUGAUAUAGGAAGGUUGAGCUGCUGUUUAUCUGUUCUUAGAGAUGCUAGAAUUCUGGAGAAUUUUAUCUUUGAAAAUCUUUAAAAUGUUGCAUGAUGAGUUCCUGUAUGAUGAGAGUUUAAAUUCCUACCACAGCCAGAUAUACAUGCUUGCUAGACUUUGAGCCACACAUUUACUUUUUACUACUUAUGAGCAUUGAGUGUGGUCAAGCUGUGUAGACCCUUAGGAGCUUGUCAUGUGGUUAAAUCAAGAUUCACUUGCACGUUCACUCACACAUGCUACUUCUACUCCGGAAGUACCAUCAAUAUAUAUCCAUUUCCAUCUCCAGAACCACCUAAAAAUAUUCUACUCCUAAUCCAGGAGAGAAUAGCCAAAAAUAUUUCUAUUUUUCCCUGUGAAAUAAAUGCUCAAGUUAUCUUGUUACUACCACUUGCUAUAUUAUCUCAUGAGAUGAGUGCUCUAAUAAAAAAGAAGAAAAAAAAUACGAGGAAAUAAAAAGGGGCAAGUGCCCGGAACCUCGAAAGAAAAAAAAAGUGUGACGAGAGGUAAAAAAUGGACAAGUGUCCGACAGUAGAAUUAGGGGUACAAGAUACCCACCCGAGAGAAAAGAAAAAGAAAAUAUAGAGCAUCUCAUUCUCCUCAAAAAGUUUCAAAAGAGCAAGAAAGGUAUGUAUCCUCUCAAAAGAGCAUAAGUAGAAUUAGACUUUCACCAUUGUUAUCACCAUCAUCACCAUACACCAUUCAUUCGCCACACAUGCACAUCUUGAUUUGACUUAUUGACUUGUUCUUCUGGAUCCAUGGUUUGACUAUGCAAUAUAUGUCUUGUAAGUAUGUAUUAGCUGUCUCCCACCUAUGAGCUCCAGAUAUCAAAACCUUAUUAGAGUAGGGUGAGAGAGAAGGCAAUGUCACUAUGCUUCAUACCAAAAAUACCACAUAUUUUGAGAGAAGGCAUAUACCAUUACUGCCUUGGUAAGGAUCCAGAAAUACCACAAAAGAGAGACUAGAGAGAGUCAUACAAGGAAUCUCUGAGUUUUAUUUGAAAAUCUGCAAAAACUCCAGAGCUAUAGUUAAUCGAAGAACAAGAGACAUGGCGCUUGACUAGACCGUUCUAUCUUUUAACUGCUUAAGACACAAGUGACGGUUGCAAGCCCCAUGGUGGAAGGUAAAAUGAGUAAGUUUAAAUCUUAAUAGUUACCCUAACCCAGAGAUGAGAUCUUUUUUAAAUGCAUGUGCAUUUUUAAGGCAUGAAACCACUGCAGAAACUUUUGAGUCUAUCUUUGCUCAGGGACGAGCAAAGGUUAAGCUUGGGGGAGCUUGUUGACGGUCCUUAAUGCUCACAUUUAACCAUCAACUAAUCAUAGAAAAGGAUCCAAAUGCAACCAACACCUAGACUUAGGGUUUUAUCUGACAGAAUUCCACGAGUUUUGGUGUUUGUCUGUUUCUGCAGGGGGUUAUCAGGAAAUACGAAAGAAAGGCCCACACGUUGGGUUUACAUAGAGAUAUUAACGUGCUGCGCAAUUUUCUAUCAUCUAGAAGACUCCAGAAGCCACGGGACCGAACGGGAGACGUAACGGAGCCGGGCACUGGGCGCCCGCCCUCCCUUACUGGGCGCCCGCCCACCUCUUUCCACCAAUCAGGGUGAAGUUCGGGGAUCGUGCUCCACCGACCUAAUACUUCAAGGAAAACCACACGAUCAAUGUCGGUUUGAUCCGACGGCCCAGAUUCACUUGAAGGGACUAUAAAACCAGACCCCCCUGGCCCCUGGAGAUCAUACCUCUUCUACAGAAUCAAAGCUAGGGUUUCAAUUCUUCAUCCAAGUAGAGAGGAUCCCUCUAGUUCUUCUAGUUCUACCUCUAGUUCAUCUAGAUCUAGUUCUAGUUCAUCUAGUUCUAGUUCUAGUUCCUCUAGUUCUAGUUCUAGUUAGUUCUAGUUGUAAUCUAGAAAAUAGGGAGAGAGAAGAGGAGAGCGGAGGAGGAGCCGGAUCUGUCGGAUCUUCCUCAACAUUGUACUUUUGCAGCAUCUGGUUCGUUCUUCAUCGUUCUCCAGGUUCUUCAAUUCAUAAUUCCUGAGUUCUUUAAUUACUUUUAUUUACAUUCAAGUUAUUUAUUGGAUUCCCGCUUGCAUCAAGUGCUCUAGUCUUUAUAACGCUAGAGUAGUAAUUAAUAGAUUAGACGUGGUGUUUAGUCUUGCGAUUACCUGGAAUUGCACCCAAUCCCACGGAUUGUUGUGGUAGCCUUAGGGUAGUGACAGCCCUAACGGUCGAUGUAUUCCACCUCGUUCGGAUCGGUGUUUGUAGGACCGUAGUCGGAGCUUCCUAGCCCCCUUCUCAUCUCUUUCUGUGGUUAGUGUUCUGAUGUCCCGAAAUAGAUAAUCUUGAAGUAAUUCUUGAUUCUUAGAUCAACUAGAGAACUCUCAGGAAACUUCCUCUCUUCCCACCAAAAAAUAAUUAUAUAGUUAUCCUUGGGCGAUCUUGAUUCUUAAUUAGUACACUCACGUUCCCUGUGGAAAAUCGAUACUCUGGAAUACUCCCGGGUGAAGGCUACAUCGGUAUCCGUGCGCUUGCGGAUUUUUCUGUUUGCGUUUAAAAUACCCAACAAUUACCACUUGAUGAGAACACGGGUGGCCCGAUCUUCCGAAAGGUUCUGGUAACUCUCGAUUUGGUGGAGACGAGACACAAAUUGAUCCGGCUUCCGAACAACACGAUACGAAACCCUACAAUUUUCUUUAUUUUUUUCAUAUUUUUCUUUUAGUUAGGAGCACCAAAGGAGUAACCACAAAAAAAUUGAGCUUAAACAAGUGAAAGACAUGGCCCGCGAAAUUUUCUGAAGAUUGUGAAAAAUGUGAAAAAAACUUCACGAGGUGAAAACUCAAACUUUAGAGGAUCUAAAGUCAAUCAAACCUGCCAUUGAAGGGCACAGACAGAUCCAAAAAAUUUUUCUGAUCGAUUUUUUUAUAUGGAACGUUGAAAUCGGAGUUCGUAUGCGGAAGUUAUGGCUAUUUUAUGAACGGACUCCGGAUUAGAGGACAAAACGGUCCGAAAAUGAGAAAAAUUGCGGCGGUGGCUAAAAAUUGAUGGAAAUAGUGGAGAAAAACAUAUGAACUGGACCCUAACAAGACCUAACCAGCAACAAGACCUCGACCAGGACACAAACUCAACACUACGGACUCUGAAACUAAAAUAUGCAAAUUCUAUGGCGUGGAAGGGUUGUAGGACAGGAAAAUGAUAUGGCACUGGACUUAUGGGACGAACACAAGAACACUCAAAACUAAAGAUAGUUAUGAACCUAAUGGUAUACCUAAAGCUUUGAUUACCACUUGAUUUGAACAAGGGUGGUCUGAUCUUCCGAAAGGUUCUGGUAACUAUCGAUUUGGAGGAGAAGAGACACAAAUUGAUCCGCUUUCGAACAACACGAUCCGAAACUCAGCAAAUUCUUUUUAUUAUUUUUUGAUAUUUUUCUUUCAGUUAGGAGCACUAAAGAAGUAACCACAGAAAAUUUAAGCUUAAACAAGUGAAAGACAUGGCCUGUGGAAUUUUCUGAAGUUUGUGAAAAAUGUGAAAAAAACUUCAUGAUGUGAAAACUUAAACUUCAGAGGUGAAUUUGGAGGUUCUAAAAUUUUCAAACCCGCCAAUGGAGGGGACAAAUAGAUCCAAAAAAUUUUUUUGAUCGAUUUUGAUAUAUGGAACAUUGAAAUCGGAGUCCGUAUGCGAAAGUUAUGGCUAUUUUACGAUCGGACUCCGAAUUAGAGGACAAAACGGUCCGAAAGUGGGAAAAAUUUGCGGCGGUGGCCAGAAAUUGAUGGAAACGAUGGGGAAAAACACACGAACUGGACUCUAACAAGACCUAACCAGCAACAAGACCUCGGCCAGGACACAAACUCAACACUGCGAACUCUGAAACUAAAAUAUGCAAAGGCUAUUGCGUGGAAGGGUUGUAGGACACGAAAACGAUAUGGCACUCGACUUAUGGGACGAAACACUCGAAACUAAGGGUAGAUGUGAACCUAACAGUAUACCUAAAGCUUUGAUUACCACUUGAUGAGUCAAGGGUGGCCCGAUCUUCCGAAAGGUUCUGGUAUCUCUCGAUUUGGUGCAGACGAGACACAAAUCGAUCCGGCUUCCGAACAACACGAUCUGAAAGCCUACAAUUCUUUUUAUUUUUUUGAUAUAUUUCUUUGAGUUAGGAGCACCAAAGGAGUAACCACAGAAAAUUUGAGCUUAAACAAGAGAAAGACAUGGCCUGCGGAAUUUUCUAAAGAUUGUAAAAAAUGUGAAAAAAACUUCACGAGGUGAAAACUCAAACUUUGGAGGUGAAUUUUGAGGUUCUACAAUUUUCAAACCCACCAAUGGAGGGGACAGACAGAUCCAAAGAAAUGUUUCAGAUAGAUUUUGAUAUAUGGAAUGUUGAAAUCGGAGUUCGUAUGCGAAAGUUAUGGCUAUUUUACGGACUACGAAUUAGAGGACAAAACAGUCCGAAAGUGGGAAAAAUUUGCGGCGGUGGCUAGAAAUUGAUGGAAACGGUGGGGAAAAGCACACGAACUGGACUCUAACAAGACCUAACCAGCAACGAGACCUCGACCAGAACACAAACUCAACACUGCGGACUCUGAAACUGAAAUAUGCAAAGGCUAUGGCGCGGAAGGGUUGUAGGACAGGAAAACGAUACGGUACUGGACUUAUUGGACGAACACAAGAACACUCGAAACUAAGGGUAGAUGCCAACCUAAUGGUAUACCUAAAGCUUUGUUUACCACUUGAUGAGAACAAGGGUGGCCCGAUCUUGUGAAAGGUUCUAGUAACUCUCGAUUUGGUGGAGACGAGACACAAAUCAAUCCGGCUUCCAAAUAACACGAUGCGAAACACUUCAAUUUUUUUAUUUUUUUGAUAUUUUUCUUUUAGUUAGGAGCACCAAACGAGUAACCACAUAUAAUUUGACUUUUAAACAAGUGAAAGACAUGGCCUGCGGAUUUUUCUUAAGAUUGUGAAAAAUGUGAAAAAAAACUUCACGGGGUGAAAACUCAAACUUUGGAGGUGAAUUUGGAGGUUCUAAAUUUUCAAACCCACCAAAAGCUAGGACACACAGAUCCGAAAUUUUUGUCUGAUUGAUUUCGAUAUAUGGAACAUUGAAAUUGGAGUUCGUAUGUGAAAGUUAUGGCGAUUUUACGAACGGACUCCGAAUUAGAGGACAAAACGGUAAAUGGGAAAAAUUUGCGGUGGUGGCUAGAAAUUGAUGGAAACGGUAGGGAAAAACACACGAACUGGACUCUAACAAGACCUAACCAGCAACAAGACCUCAAUAAGAACACAAACUCGACACUGCGGACUCUGAAACUGAAAUAUGCAAAGGCUAUGGCGCGAAAGGGUUGUAGGAUACGAAAACGAUAUAGCCCUGGAAUUAUGGGACGAACACAAGAACACUCGAAACUAAGGGUGGAUGUGAACCUAACGGUAUACCUAAAGCUUUGAUUACCACUUGAUGAGAACAAGGGUGACCUGACCUUCCAAAAGGUUCUGAUAUCUCUCGAUUUGGUACAGACGAGACACAAAUCGAUCCGGCUUCCGAACAACAUGAUAUGAAACCGUGCAAUUUAUUUUAUUUUUUUGAUAUUUUUCUUUUAGUUAGUAGCACCAAAGGAGUAACCACAGUAAAUUUGAGCUUAAACAAGUGAAAGACAUGGCCUGCGGAAUUUUUUGAAGAUUGUGAAAAAUGUGAAAAAAAACAUUACGAGGUGAAAACUCAAACUUUAGAGGUGAAUUUUGAGGUUCUAAAAUUUUCAAACCCGCCAAUGGAGGGGAUAGAGAGAUCCAAAAAAAUUUUCGAAUCAAUUUUGAUAUAUGGAACGUUGAAAUCGGAGUUCGUAUGCGAAAGUUAUGGCUAUUUUACGAACGGACUACGAAUUAGAGGACAAAACAGUCUGAAAGUGGGAAAAAUCUGCGGUUGUGGCUAGAAAUUGAUGGAAACGGUGGGGAAAAACACACGAACUGGACUUUAACAAGGCCUAACCAGCAACAAGACCUCAACAAGAACACAAACUCAACACUGCAGACUCUGAAACUGAAAUAUGCAAAGGCUAUGGCGUGAAAGGGUUGUAGGACACGAAAAUGAUAUAGCACUGGACUUAUGGUACGAACACAAGAACACUCGAAACUAAGGGUAGAUGUAAACCUAAUGGUAUACCUAAAGCUUUGAUUAGUAACUCUCGAUUUGAUGGAGACGACACACAAAUCGAUCCGGCUUCCGAACAACACGAUCCGAAACAUGCAAUUUUUUUUAUUUUUUUGAUAUUUUUCUUUUACUUAGGAGCACCAAAGGAGUAGCCACAGGAAAAUUGAGCUUAAACAAGUGAAAGACAUGGCCUGCGGAAUUUUCUGGAAAUUGUGAAAAAUGUGAAAAAAACAUCACGAGCUGAAAACUCAAAUUUCGGAGGUGAAUUUGGAGGUUCUAAAAUUUUCAAACCCACCAAUGAGGGGACAGACAGAUCUUAAUUUUUUUCUAAUCAAUUUUGAUAUAUGGAAUGUUGAAAUCGGAGUUCAUAUGCGAAAGUUAUGGCUAUUUUACGAACGGACUCCGAAUUAGAGCACAAAACGGUCCGAAAGUGGGAAAAAUUUGCGGCGGUGGCUAGAAUUUGAUGGAAACGGUGGAGAAAAAUACAUGAACUGGACUCUAACAAGACCUAACCACCAACAAGACUUCGACCAGGACACAAACUCAACACUGCGGACUCUGAAACUGAAAUAUGCAAAGGCUAUGGCGUGGAAGGGUUGUAGGACACGAAAACGAUAUGGCACUGGACUUAUGGGACGAACACAAGAACACUCGAAACUAAGGGUAGAUGUGAACCUAACGGUAUACCUAAUGCUUUUAUUACCACUUGAUGAGAAAAAGGGUGACCUGAUCUUCCAAAAGGUUCUGGUAUCUCUCGAUUUGGUGCAGACGAGACACAAAUCGAUCCGGCUUCCGAACAACAUGAUACGAAACAAUGCAAAUUUUUUCUAUUUUUUUUUGAUAUUUUUAUUUUAGUUAGGAGCACCGAAGGAGUAACCACAGAGAAUUUGAGCUGAAACAAGUUUAAGACAUGGCCUGCGGAAUUUUUUGAAGAUUGUGAAAAAUGUGAAAAAAAACUUCACGAGGUGAAAACUCAAAAUUUGGAGGUGAAUUUUGAGGUUCAAAAAUUUUCAAACCCGCCAAUGGAGGGGACAGACAGAUCCAAAAAAAAAUUUUGGAUCAAUUUUGAUAUAUGGAACGUUGAAAUCAGAGUUCGUAUGCGAAAGUUAUGGCUAUUUUACGAACGGACUACGAAUUAGAGGACAAAACAGUCCGAAAGUGGGAAAAAUUUGCGGUGCUGGCUAGAAAUUGAUGGAAAUGGUAGGGAAAAACACACGAACUGGACUCUAAUAAGACCUAACCAGCAACAAGACGUCAACAAGAACACAAACUCAACACUGCGGACUCUGAAACUGAAAUAUGCAAAGGCUAUGGCGCGAAAGGGUUGUAGAACACGAAAACGAAAAAGCACUGGACUUAUGGUACGAACACAAGAACACUCGAAACUAAGGGUAGAUGUGAACCUAACGGUAUACUAAUGCUUUUAUUACCACUUGAUGAGAAUAAGUGUGACCUGAUCUUCAAAAAGGUUUUGGUAUCUCUUGAUUUGGUGCAGACGAGACACAAAUCGAUCCGGCUUCCGAACAACAUGAUACGAAACCUUGCAAAUUUUUUUUAUUUUUUUUAAUAUUUUGCUUUUAGUUAGGAGCACCGUAGGAGUAACUACAGAAAAUUUGACCUUAAACAAGUGAAAGACAAGGCCUACGGAAUUUUUUGAAGAUUGUGAAAAAUGUGAAAAAAAACUUCACGAGGUGAAAACUCAAACUUUGGAGAUGAAUUUUGAGGUUCUAAAAUUUUUAAACCCGCCAAUGGAGGGGACAGACAGAUCCAAAAAGAAUUUUGGAUCAAUUUUCAUAUAUGGAACGUUGAAAUCGGAGUUCGUAUGUGAAAGUUAUGGCUAUUUUACGAACGGACUACAAAUUAGACGACAAAACAGUCCGAAAGUGGGAAAAAUUUGCGGCAGUGGCUAGAAAUUGAUGGAAACAGUGGGGAAAAACACACGAACUAGACUCUAACAAAGACCUCGACCAGGACACAAACUCAACACUGCGGACUCUGAAACUGAAAUAUGCAAAGGCUAUGGCGCGGAAGGGUUGUAGGACAAGAAAAUGAUAUGGUACUGGACUUAUGGGACGAACACAAGAACACUCCAAACUAAGGGUAGAUGUGAACCUAAUGUUAUACCUAAAGCUCUGGUUACCACUUGAUGAAAACAAGGGUGGCCCGAUCUUCUGAAAGGUUCUAGUAACUCUCGAUUUGGUGGAGACGAGACACAAAUCGAUCCGGCUUCCGAACAACAUGAUCCGAAACCCUACAAUUUUUUUUUAUAUUUUGAUGUUUUUCUUUUAGUUAGGAGCACCAAAGAAGUAACCACAUAAAAUUUGAGCUUAAACAAGUGAAAGAAAUGGCCUGUGGAAUUUUCUGAAGAUUGUGAAAAAUGUGAAAAAACUUCACGAGGUGAAAACUCAAACUUUGGAGGUGAAUUUGCAGGUUCUAAAAUUUUCAAACCAACCAAAAGCUAGGACACACAGAUCUGAAAUUUUUUUCUGAUCGAUUUUGAUAUAUGGAACGUUGAAAUCGGAGUUCGUAUGUGAAAGUUAUGGCUAUUUUACGAACGGACUACGAAUUAGAGGACAAAACAGUCCGAAAGUGGGAAAAAUUUGCGGCGGUGGCUAGAAAUUGAUGGAAACGGUGGGGAAAAGCACACGAACUGGACUCUAAUAAGACCUAACCAGCAACAAGACCUCAACAAGAACACAAACUCAAAACUGCGGACUCUGAAACUGAAAUAUGCAAAGGCUAUGGCGCGAAAGGGUUAGGACACGAAAACGAAAUAGCACUGGACUUAUGGUACGAACAUAAUAACACUCAAAACUAAGGGUAGAUGUGAACCUAACGGUAUACCUAAUGCUUUUAUUACCACUUGAUGAGAACAAGGGUGACCUGAUCUUCCAAAAGGUUCUGCUAUCUAUCGAUUUGGUGCAGACGAGACACAAAUCGAUUCGGCUUCCGCACAACAUGAUACGAAACCCUGCAAUUUUUUUUAUUUUUUUUGAUAUUUUUAUUUUAGUUAGGAGCACCGUAGGAGUAACCACAGAGAAUUUGAGCUUAAACAAGUUUAAGACAUGGCCUGCGGAUUUUUUUGAAGAUUGUGAAAAAUGUGAAAAAAAACUUCACGAGGUGAAAACUCAAACUUUGGAGGUGAAUUUUGAGGUUCAAAAAUUUUCAAACCCGCCAAUGGAGGGGACAGACAGAUCCAAAAAAAAUUUUUGGAUCGAUUUGAUAUAUGGAACGUUGAAAUCAAAGUUCGUAUGCGAAAGUUAUGGCUAUUUUACGAACGGACUACGAAUUAGAGGACAAAACAGUCUGAAAGUGGGAAAAAUUUGCGGUGGUGGCUAAAAAUUGAUGGAAACGGUAGGGAAAAUACACACGAACUGGACUCUAAUAAGACCUAACCAGCAACAAUACCUCAACAAGAACACAAACUCAACACUGCGGACUCUGAAACUAAAAUAUGCAAAGGCUAUGGCGCGAAAGGGUUGUAGGACACGAAAACGAAAAAGCACUGGACUUAUGGUACGAACACAAGAACACUCGAAACUAAGGGUUGAUGUGAACCUAACGAUAUACCUAAUGCUUUUAUUACCACUUGAUGAGAACAAGGGUGACCUGAUCUUCAAAAAGGUUCUGGUAUCUCUCUAUUUGGUGCAGACGAGACACAAAUCGAUCCGGCUUCCGAACAACAUGAUACGAAACCUUGCAAUUUUUUUAUUUUUUUAAUAUUUUGCUUUUAGUUAGGAGCACCGUAGGAGUAACCACAGAAAAUUUGAGCUUAAACAAGUGAAAGACAUGGCCUACGGAAUUUUUUGAAGAUUGUGAAAAAUGUGAAAAGAACAUCACGAGGUGAAAACUCAAACUUUGGAGAUGAAUUUUCAGGUUCUAAAAUUUUCAAACCCGCCAAUGGAGGGGACAGACAGAUCCAAAAAGAAUUUUGGAUCAAUUUUCAUACAUGGAACGUUGAAAUCGGAGUUCAUAUGUGAAAGUUAUGGCUAUUUUACGAACGGACUACGAAUUAGAGGACAAAACAGUCUGAAAGUGGGAAAAAUUUGCGGCGGUGGCUAGAAAUUGAUGGAAACGGUGGCGAAAAACACACGAACUGGACUCUAACAAAGACCUCGACUAGGACACAAACUCAACACUGCGGACUCUGAAACUGAAAUAUGCAAAGGCUGUGGCGCGGAAGGGUUGUAGGACAAGAAAAUGAUAUGGUACUGGACUUAUGGGACGAACAUAAGAACACUCCAAACUAAGGGUAGAUGUGAACCUAAUGUUAUACCUAAAGCUCUGAUUACCACUUGAUGAGAACAAGGGUGGCCCGAUCUUCUGAAAGGUGCUAGUAACUCUCGAUUUGGUGGAGACGAGACACAAAUCGAUCCGGCUUCCGAACAACAUGAUCCGAAACCCUACAUUUUUUUUAUUUUUUUGAUGUUUUUCUUUUAGUUAGGAGCACCAACGAAGUAAUCACAUAAAAUUUGAGCUUAAACAAGUGAAAGACAUGGCCUGUGGAAUUAUCUGAAGAUUGUGAAAAAUGUGAAAAAACUUCACGAGGCGAAAACUCAAACUUUGGAGGUGAAUUUGCAGGUUCUAAAAUUUUCAAACCCACCAAAAGCUAGGACACACAGAUCCAAAAAAUUUUUCUG